rnacentral:lncRNA from 1 species
CUAUAUCAGGAGCGGCAAAGUCAAGGAGUUUGUGCCCAAUUUGGAUGUCACAUUUUUGGCACAAGGGACCCAUUUCGUCCAAGAACAACUUCCUGAGGAGGUGAAUCAUCUCAUUAUCUCCUUCCUUAACAAGCACUGCGAAUAGAGGAAACCGAUGACCUAGUUGCUUCUUCAUCUUCUUCCUUCUUUACCGCUGAAUAAAAGGACCUUGUGCCAUUUAAAUAAAGAAUAAUAUGACCUCAAAAUGGCCAAAUUUGAAUGUAUUGGGAGUUGGAGAAUCUUCAUUCCAGUUCAAUUAAUGUGCUUGUAUUCACUCUUACACCAAGAUUAGCUGACGGUAUCAUUUAACAACCAAAUCCAAAUCAACAGGCUUGAGUGGCAAAUUGGAAGCUUACAAGUAUGCUGCCAGCUCCAUUAAUUAAACGAAGCUAGAGAAAAAGAUACCUGUAAAAAAAGCAGAAUUUGGAGGAAGGUAAGAACUGCCACAAAUUCCAAUUUUGAGCUGAUUAAAGUAUUGGGGGUGGAAACAUAGUGCGUUAGUAUCAGGGUCAUAUACACUACAAAUAAGAGACCAAAUAAUCCGGAACUUAUAGAUGUUUGCUUCAACCAUUUCAUAAUUGCAAAUAAUUCACUGCAAGUGUUAUCCAAAAGCAUGUCUUCCAGGAAAGUAGACAAGCGUUACCUAUAUUGUAUUUUGUGUACAAAUUAGAGCUCAUAUGCAGGGAGUCUGGGGCCCCAAAGGCUCAACCAUGUCUAGAAGAUAUAAACUUGUGAGCCUGAUCAAGCAAAAAGCAAGCAAAUGCUUUUGCCCUAUACAAGACCUUUACAUUGCCUGUUUUUGGUUAGAGUGAAAGGAGAACACAAGCAUUCCCACUAAUGCCAUGGCAAAUUCCUACACGCUUCAGCAACCCGCGGUUCCACACCACCUCUGCUGCUUCAAGAAUUUCAUCAUCUCCAAAGACCUAAAGAACACAGAGAUUCUAAUGAAUUCUAAUUCCGUCACGGUACAAAGAUUGUGGUUUGUUGCUAAUUUUAUUUCUUUUAGUAGCAAAACCUUGAAGAAAGAAUUACUUUGUAUUGAACUUAAAUUGCAAGCAAAUAGUCAGGAUGAACCCAUUAAUGCUUAAUAUUUAAUGAUGGAAGUUAUUCCCAUAGAUCUAGCAAUUCUAGGACUAGGAGUAUGCCUUAGUUCUUUCUCUAGUAGCUAUAAUCUAUCUAUCUAUACCUAGAUAUUAAAACAAUCCUAGAGGAUUGUGACAAGUAUGACGUGUUAGUAAUGCUUGGUUAUUUGUCAAUGCAUUAAGAGUAGUUUCAGUUGACAUUUGUUCUACGUACAAUAUAUUCCUUUUCUAGAGUUAACACAUGGCGACCUUUGUGUUUUGAUAUUUUGUAACGCCCUAAACCCGACCUAGAUGGAUAGAUUAAGUCUAGGGUGUCAAUUGAACUUACCAGAAAACAAAUGCACACAAAGUUGAUUUAACCGAUGCAUGGAUACGUCUUAAAACAACAAUUUUAAACACACACAUAUAUUUAAGUAUAGGACCGUUAGAAGAUGGAGUCCCACAUCCGUCGGCCGCCUAGUUUUGGGAGGUUCCUGAAAUUCAUUCAGUCUAGUUAGUACAUUGAAAUCUAAUGUAAAGUAUAAUUACUCAACGUACAUAAAAUGACUCAGAUAUCACUGAAAUUUCAGAUAGCGCACACUCACUCUAAAUCGAUUAGAUUAGUAAUUCCCAAUAGUUUCGGAUGCAGAGCAGUUCAGAUACUCGGCAGAUUAGAUACAGAAAUAGAUUUAUAUGUAAAUACAGAUACAGAUGCAAUUAUCCUACCCCAUCUGCUACACACCAUCUCCGACCAACUUAACACACCAGUAGGUAUAUAAUACUUGUCCAGCCCUACACACAUCAUAGUGUUGGUACGACAUGUUGCAGUGUUCACAGUCUCAUUGCCAGAUCAGAUAUCAUUACAAGUGAUUUGACCACCAAAUCAGUACAAAACAUUUUCUUCAAUUCGUAAAUUUCACCCCAUACAAAUGUAGAGAACAAUUGACCAAUAUAUAUAUUUACUUAUGCAGAUACAAUCAUACAGUUCUAAUAUAAAAGAGGGUUGAAAUUCUUACGAAUUGUCUUAUCCGGGUAUGUAGUAGCGGUUUAUAAUCAUGAUAAAGUAGAUCAUACAGUUCAAUUUAGUUCAUACAUAUAUUACAGAUGGCUUACACUCGCCUCAUACAACAAUUAUGGCGUUAACUGAAAUUUAGCGGUUCAGGUUCACAUGCCUAUGUGAGUGCUCGUGUGACUCAACACGGUCUGACACAUAACCGUGUGGUUGCCCAUGUGCCCCUAUUCACCAAGUCAGUGAGUUACACGGUCUAGGUACACGUCCGUGUGUUGCCUGUGUACCUCACACAGUUUGACACACACCCGUGUGUCCCUAAUACAUAAAUAAUAAGUCACACUGUCUGACACACACCCAUGUGCCAGCCCGUGUGACCAUUGCACAUUAAUGUUUCACGCAUGGCCUACCACACGCCCGUGUGGCUCAUCCGUGUGUCUCAAGUCCAAAGUUAGUCAGUUACACGGUCCACCACACGGCUUUCUACACGGCCUGGACACACGCCCGUGUGACAGCUCGUAUGCCGUCGACUGUCCCGUUUUCGACAACAAAAAAUGUAGAAGAAAAGGGUUUUGAUACCCUACCUGAAAACCACGAUGACCUUGAAGCAAACUUGGGACUCCUGAAGCCUAGAAACCAAAUCCAACUACUCAAUUAAUGGAAAUUCAAACAGAUACACUAAAUUGCAACAACAAUUAACACCGAAACCUUCAACGCACAAACCCGAAACAAACAAAACUAACUUACUGGAAGUUCAACAGCGCACACUCGAGUUUUAGACAAUGAGAGAAGCGUUAGGCAUCUCUUAACCUUCCCCUAAGCUUCCGUAACCACGAGCAAAUAAAGCAAAACAAAAUUGAUCAACACCCUCACUUCGAGAUUUCAAGAAAUUCGUAAUUCAUACAUAAUAACCGGAAUUACUACGAUUAAAUCUUACCUUUAAGCACUGAAACAACCAACAGUAUGAUACGAUUGAAUAAUUAACCCUGUCGAAACCAUUUUUUUGAAAAUAAAAAAUCUAGUAGUCGACUUGAAAAUGAAACGAAAAUUGGAGUCGCCACUGACCCUUUAUUAAGUUGUGAUCGGCUCACAUUGAAAAUGAUUUUGGUCUGUGAAAUUUGAGAAAACAGGUUCGGGAUUCGGUUACGCAUGAGGAAGGGUUAGCACCCUCGUAACGCCCAAAAAUGGUACCGAAUUGAUUAAUUAAUGUCUUAAUUUCGAAUAUCGAAAAUUCGUGAAGAAUUUUAAAAAUUAUGAUCCUCCAUUUUAUUAAUGUUAAUUUUAUAAAAGAUGCUUGGAUAAAUCGAGAUGAAUGCUAAAUACCUUCUCGUCUCAGAUUAAUAAGAUGUCACGCUCAAUACAUUAGGACACGACAUUUUUAGUCCUCGAGAAUGAGCUUGUCUUUUGAUUUUCAAAACUCUUGCAGUGGAGUUAAAAAGGGAUAUUCAGUUACUUUAAGUCAGAUGAAAAAUUGAAACCUAAUACGUUAGGGCACAAUUUCUCUAAAUUCCUAGCAUUGAAUAUAGCCCUUAUUAUUUAAAUCUUCAUUUCGAGAAAACGACACGUCACAUCCAAUACAUUAGGACAUGACGUAUCGAAUUCCUGAAAGUGAGUUUUUGGUUUAUGCGCUUUGAUUGUAGAAAAUUUUUGAUUAUUUAGAUUCAACGAGGAAAAUUGGAACCCAAUACGUUAGGGCUCCAUUCCCUCGAAGAUUCCAAAUUUCGGGUAUUGCGCUAUUAUAAAAGUUUUUGGAUAAAUUGGUUUUGAUACUUAAAUGAAAUUAAAUGUAAUUCUUUAAAAUACAAAGGAUUGAUUAAUGAUAUACAAUGCGAGAUGAUGAUUCAUGGACUAAAACGUAUACUAACGAACGUCAAACAAUCAAUAAAUAUAAAUAAACAAUACAAUAUAACAAUGGCAAGAAUCUCAUAUUAUAUGUUGGCAGAUAUUAAUAAGAAUUAAAAGGAAUAUUGGGUAAAUUAAUAUAAACAAUUUUUGAAAUAGACUAAAAAGUGAAUAGCAUACAAGGGCGAAAGUUGAAAAUUAUUAAUAAAUCACAUGCAUCAAAUUUUAUCACAAACAAUAUAUAUAUACGAAUUUGAAAUAGAUUUAAAGGAAGAUAAGAAAAACACUACGUGAAAUUAUAAUAUUAAAAUGAAUUUUAAAGUAAAUAAAAAUAUAUGUGUAACAUACCAAAUAACAUACAUACAUUAAUCUAAAUAAGCAACAUGUAUAUGAAAAGAAAAGUUUAAUAAUAACACAAAUAAUACUAGGGUUAAUAAAUAAUAAUAUUAUUAUUAUCAAAUUAAUUGCUACAUAAAAAAACGAAAGGGAUUAGACUAACUUAAAAACAAAAUUAAAAGAACCAAUUGAAAAUAAAACAAAGUAAAUGGGCCGAAUGCAAUGCGUGGAUAACUUGGGGGACCAUAUGGGAAAUAAUCCCCGUCCCUCAAGAACACAGCAUAUAAUCUGGGCCAAGAUGAAACAAAAGCAAAAUGAAAUGCAAAAUUUAUAAAUAAAUAAAAACUGAUAUGAAAACACUACGAAGUAAGGGGGACCGAAUGCACCAAUAACCCUACCAAGGCUUCAACGCGCGGAUCUUAGCCGCUUCUGGGUCGGGUCAUCGGGUUAAUCAGGUUAAACGGUGCCGUUUUGAGGGUUGUUAACCCUAGCCCAAAACGACACCGUGCGACUAUAUUAUUUAAACCUAAAAUUUUUUUUUAGCUUAGUUUGCUUAACAAAGAAAAAAAAUAAAAAAGAGGGUUGUCCCCUCCUCUCGUCUGCACUAGGGUUUCAACCCUAGUCUCACAUCACCGAAAGCUUCCCCGAUUUCCAGCCUCACAGCCCUCGCUCGAACUCUGAUUGAGGUGAAGUGAACAAGGUUUUGGUCGACGCUAACACAGAGGUAAGUCUUCCUUCCCCUAUCUUUAUUUUACAAGUAUCAAGAGUAAUAAGCGAAUCGGAGAAAGCAUAAAAGAGAGAAAAAAAGAAAAAAGAAGUCACCUUCAGCAAAAUUUUCUUUUUUGAUUGCUCUUGUUAUUUUUUUUUUUGUGUUUGUCUGCAUAACCGUUUACAAAGGUUUCGUCUUUUGUUUUAUAGGCCGAAAAAAGUAAACAAAAAAUGAAAAAUACGAAAAAUGCAACUUUAUCUUUUUUCUUCUGCGUUGUUUGCAUCCCAUUUGCAGGUGUACGGGGGCAGAAGUCGACGUGGAGGUACGGAGGCUAAGGCGCAUGCGUGAGGGCAGAGGCUUGGCACGCGCGGGGGGAGUUAGGGCUGUUGCGGUGCUGGGGCUUGCUCGCUGCUAGGGUUUCGGCCUUGAUUUGGGCUAGGUAUUGGGCUGGUGGUUGGUUUGUAACGUUUGGGCUUAGUGGGUCUAAUGUGUUCGGGUUUAGGGUGUCUGAAACUUUAGGCUAGUUGGGUCUACUAGGAUUUGGGCCUGUUGAUGUAAAGUACUGAACUGUUUAUUUUUUGAACUUUUAAUUUUUAAUUUGGUUUUAUUUUAUUUAUUUGUUUAUUUGGUUUAUUUCACUAACGGGCCGGGCAGAUUGGGUCUAUUACAUCUGCCCCUCUUUGAUCAUUGUCGUGUAACAGGAAUGAAGCAAAGACGAAAAAGGGCCAAUUUUGCCCGGUCAUGUCGGACCUUGGCAGCCUUAUUCCAACCUACUGCCUCUUCAGAGGUGUAGGAAUUGAUGCUUCGAUCCACUCCACUGCAACGUCAGGGAGAUAAGACUCGUAUCUUGAACUUGUUCUGCUGCAACUUUGAAGAGAAGUCUGAAGCGAUUCGCUCUACUGCAACGCCAGAGAAAUAAGAUUCGCUUUCGUAGCUUCAAUCUAUUUGACUGCAACAUUGGGGAAGUAAGAUUCGUCGUCUUCGAUCUGCUCCACUACUACUUAGGGAGAUAGGAUCCACAAUCUUCAACCUAUUCCACUGCUAUUCAGGGAGAUAGGAUAUACAAUCUUCCACCUAUUCCACUGCUGGUCAAGGAGUUAGGACUUGCAAUCUUCAACCUAUUCCACUGCUGGUCAGGGAGUUAGGACUGACAAUCUUCUACCUAUUCCUCUGCUGGUCAGGGAGAUAGGACUUACAAUCUUCAACCUAUUCCACUGCUGGUCAGGGAGCUAGGUUUUGUGAUUUCACCGAUCUGUUCUCUGAGGAACAUGACCUGUAUAAUUCAUUUAUGAACUUAAUUAUGCCUAGUGAUUAGGAUGUCAUGAUCAGAAUGAGUCAAAUGUUCCUAACUAGGCGUGUAUGAAUGCUGUAUGAAUUUGGAAUGUCAUUUUUGAGAAUGAUCCUUCUUCAUCGCUUAAGUUAUCAUUGCUCAAGGUUUGUUAAGGCUUUAUCACUGACGUGCUACAACGCCUUCUUGCCCGGUUGACUUUUUUGAAGAAACACUUAGUCAGAUUGCCCUCACUGUAAACCCCCAAGUUCAAUCCACUCGGACGUAAAAUUCGUACCAUCAUUCUCUCACUGUAACCCAAUGGUAAAAAAACUUGGCUUUUCUCAAACCUCUCUUGUCGCAAUUCAAUGGUAUAGAAUGUGAAACUCUUUGGUCCUUUACACCAUUCCUAUGGUGUCAUACCAAAUAUCUAUACACAAAUGAAGGAUUCUCUUCUCUAAGGAAACCCCCUCUUAUUGCUUGCUUGCUUGUUCACUGGAGCCCUAUCACUGACACGACAUCUUGUCACUUUGUUCAAUCAAUGUUUAGACAACAAAAUCUAAAGGGAUAGUCUUAAUUUAAACUUUUCCUUCCUAGAUAUUUCAACUUUUAAACCUAGUGCAUUCUAAACAAUAUUCCUGUUUCAGGUUACUGUAUUAUUUAGAAUCUUCUAGAGUAAUAUGCAAAACUUCUAUUUUGAAAUUUUUAUUAGUCGAUUAAUCAUUAUUCCAGUACAACAUGCUUGCAAGAAGAAUGUAAUGAUGGGUAAAAUAGUAUUGAUUUAAGAACAUAGCUCGAAACGAAUAAACUAUGAAAGAUAGUAACAAAUGAAUUGAUUGGUAAUGUGUAUCUUGAAAAAGAAUGAAGUAUUCCAAGAACAAUAGAUUCAAAUAUAAAUAGUAUGAAGACUAGGUGCCUCAAAUAUCGCAGCUUGAACUUCACUGCACAAACUUUCUGAAGACCCUUCUGAGGUUGACAUGUGUUUAAGAGAUCUACAAUACUCUGUUGAUGCCCCAAGACGUCGCCUACCCCUUUCUGUUGGUUCAGGUAUAGCAAGAUCACCACAUGCCCCAAUUCAGUCAAUAUUUGAAUCGCCCUUUUCGGGUUUUCAACUUAAAUCCUUUUUGGUCUCAAGGUGCCCUUUGCGGGUUUUCGCCUUGGGCUCUCUAUUUUUUUAUUUUAUUUUAGUUUUUUGAAAAGGCGCUCUUUGCAGGUUUUCACCUUGGUCUUUUCCCCUUUUUAGGCAAAGUAUUUCUUGACUGAGUCCGAGUUUACUGGAUUGGGCAGGCUUUUACCAUCCCUCUCACUCAAGAUCAGAGCUCCACCAGAAAAGGCCCUCUUUACAACAUAAGGUCCUUCCCAAUUUGACAUCCAUUUCCCUUUAAAAUCCUUUUGUAGAGGAAUGAUAUUUUUCAACACCAGGUCCCCUUCAUGAAAUUCUCUGGGACGAAUCUUUUUGUCAUAGGCUCGCAUCAUUCGCUUCUGGUACAUCUGUCUAUGAUUAAUAGCUUUUAAUCUUUUUCCUUCUAUCAGGUUUAACUGAUCAUAUCGAGAUUGGAUCCAUUCAGCCUCAUCUAACUUGAGUUCAGCUAGCACCCGAAGAGAGGGGAUUUCAACUUCAAUGGGUAAUACUGCCCCCAUCUUGUAAACUGGAGAGAAAGGCGUUGCCCCAGUAGACGUCCUAACAGAUGUUCAAUAGGCAAGGAGAGCGAACGGUAAUUUCUCAUGCCAGUCUUUGUAUGUCUCAGUCAUUUCCCUACUAUCUUCUUGAUGUUUUUAUUAGCUGCCUCCACUGCACCAUUCAUCUUCGGACGAUACGGUGACGAGUUGUGGUGUUUGAUCUUGAAUUGACUGUAACUUCCGCUAUUGUGCUAUUGUUCAAGUUCAGCGCAUUGUCAGAUAUGAUUCUUUCGAGUAUUUCGUAUCGACAUAUGAUCUCUUUUUUCAAGAACUUGCUGACUGUUGAUUUCGUGACAUUAGCAUAUGAAGUAGCUUCUACCCAUUUAGUGAAAUAAUCAAUAACCACGAAGAUGAAACGAUGCCCGUUAGAAGCUUUUGGCGAUAUGGGCCCGAUAACAUCCAUUCCCCACAUAGAGAAAGGCUAUGGGGAAGUCAUAACGUGAAAAGGUGACGGAGGUGCAUGUAUUUUGUCUGCAUAGAUGUGGCAUUUAUGGCACUUCUUGGCAUAAUUGAUGCAAUCUCCUUCUAUGGUGGACCAGUAAUAGCCGAAUCUCAUAAUCUGUUUAGCCAUGGUAAAUCCAUUAGCAUGCGUUCCACAAAUGCCCUCGUGGACUUCUUCUAGGAUUUUCUUGGCUUCCACAUUAUCCACACAUCUCAGUAGUACUUGAUCUUUUCCUCUUUUGUAUAAAAUCUCUCCAUCUAGGACAUCGUCUAUGGCUAAUCUCCUUAAUGCCCUCUUAUCAUUCUCCGUUGCCAGCUCAGUGUACUCGUGAUUCUUCACGUAUUGUAAUAUGUCUUGGUACCAAGGAUGACUAACUUUUUUCUCUUCCUUAAUAUUGUAGCAAUGAGCCGGGGUCUCAUAAAUGCUCAUCUGGAUAGGUUUCAUAUCUUCUAGCUUGUUCACCUUGAUCAUGGAAGCUAAAGUGGCUAAUGCAUCAGCCAUUUGAUUCUCAUCUCGUGGGAGAUAGUGGAAAGUAAUGUCAUCAAACUCUUCCGUCAAUUCGAGGACCAACUUUCGGUACCUGACUAAUUUGAGGUCUCUCGUCUCCCGUUCACCUUUGAGUUGGUAUAUUACCAACGCAGAGUCCUUGUAUACCUCUAACGUCUUAAUUUUACGUUCUAUAUCUACACGGAUGCCCAUGAUGUACGCUUCGUAUUCAACCAUAUUAUUUGUGCAAUCAAAAUCCAAUUUACUGGUGAAAGGAUAGUGGUCUCGAAUUGGGGAUAUCAGGACUGCCCCAAUCCCAUUUCCUACGGCAUUUGAAGCUCCAUCGAAAUUUAGUUUCCAAGGAUGAUAUUCUUGAUAACCUUGUUCAGCAAUUGCCACGUACAUCAAGUCUUCAUUUGGAAAAUUAAAAUCCAGGGGUUCAUAGUCUUCUAAAGCUCGAUUGGCUAAAAAGUCUGCUAUUGCACUCCCUUUAACAGCCUUCUAACUUAUAUAGACUAUAUCGAACUCGGAGAGCAAAAUCUGCCAUCUGGCCAUCCUUCCAUUCAAUGCAGUUGUCUCCAUCAUAUAUUUUUAGGGGUCUAAUCUUGAAAUUAUCUAAGUUGUAUGGUAGGGCAUGUAUUGUUUCAAUCUUCGCGUCGUCCAGAUCAAGGCACAACAUAAUUUUUCAAUAGGUGGAUAUCUCAUUUCACAGUCGGUGAAUUUUUUACUAAGAUAGUAUAUCAACCUUCUCUUUCCUCCCCGUCUCAUCAUGUUGGCCUAACACGCAUCCCAUGGACUUAUCAACCACCGUUAAAUAUUGGAUCAGUGGUUUAUUCAGGUUAGGUGGUGACAAUACUGGGUACUGGACAGGUACUGUUUUACUUUGUCAAAAGCUUUCUGACAUUCUUCAUCCCAUACACCUGGGUUAUGUUUAUUCAAAAGACGGAAUAUGGGAUCGCAUUUCUCAGUUAGUUGUGAAAUGAACCGAGCAAUGUAAUUCAGUCUUUCUAGGAAACCUCAAACUUCUUUUUGAGUAUGCGGUGGAGACAGUUCUUGUAUUGCUUUGACUUUGUCUGGGUCAAUCUCAAUCCCUUUUUCACUGACUAUAAACCCUAGAAGCUUUCCCGACCUGGUCCCAAUUGUACACUUGACUGGGUUGAGUUUGAGCUGGAACUUUCUUAACCUUAGAAAUAGCUUUCUUAGGACUUGCACAUGUUCCUUCUCUAUUUGAGAUUUGGCAAUCAUGUCGUCGACAUAGACUUUUAUUUCCUUAUGCAUCAUGUCAUGGAAAAGGGUCACCAUCGCUCUUUGGUAUGUAGCUCCUACAUUUUUCAACCCGAAUGGCAUCACCUUAUAACAAAAGGUUCCCCAUAGGGUUAUGAAUAUGGUCUUUGUCAUAUCUUCAGAAUGCAUCUUAAAUUGGUUAUAUCUCGAGAAACCGUCCAUGAAAGAAAAUAAUGAGUAUCCUGCCGUGUUGUCCACCAAUGUGUCGACGUGAGGCAAGGAAAAAUUAUCUUUCGGGCUGGCCUUAUUUAAAUCUCUGUAUUCUACACACAUUCGUACCUUCCCAUCCUGUUUAGGGAUGGGUACGAUGUUGGCUACCCAUUCUGAGUACUUGACCACUUGUAGGAAUCCAGCAUCGAACUGCUUUUAAACCUCCUCAUUUAUUUUUAGCAUAACAUCAGGCCUCAUUCUUCGGAGUCUUUGCUGAACUGGUUUGCAAUCAUCUCUUAUAGGAAGACGGUGUACUACAAUGUCUGUAUUGAGACUAGGCAUAUCUUGGUAUGACCAUAUGAAGACGUCUUUGAACUCCUGAAGUAAUGCGAUGAGGUCUCGCUUAGUUUCUUCAGUUAUGCGUGUUCCUAUUUUACUACUUUUCCUUCCUCCAGGGUCACAAUCUCCACCACUUCCUUAUGAGGUAGGAUCUGUUUCUCAUCCUGCUCUACCAUCCUCAACAGGUCUGGAGAUAAGUUACUAUCUAUGUCGUCUUCAAAGUCCUGAGAUCCCUCUAAACACAUGUCUCGUUCAAAAGGGUUCUCUGAGUCCAUAGCAGAGUCAUUCAUGUCAUUGAUAUCCGGAGACCUGCUACAGGUGCCAAGGAGUAUAUAAAGAAUGUAAAAUUUUUAAGUAUAUUUAUUCGUAUGGUAUGAUUAUAAAAUUGAUGAAAGAAUGAUUUGGAAGAAUAUGAAAGAAUCCGCAGUAAUUACUCAUAUAAAAGAAUGAAAAAAUCUUAAAGGAAAUAUCUGUUCCAAAUAACUGCGAAGAUGAAUUUCAUUAAGAUAAUGAUGUUCGAACAUAAGCCUAUUUCACAAAGGAAUUCUUAUUGUUUCUAGGCUAAAACAACAAGUGUGUUCUGAAUACUCUUGCAUUUGUACUUGUAACCGUUCUUGGAUAUCCUUUUGCAUUUGCUCUAAUUUCUCUAAUCUUUGGUCAAUUUCCUUAUUUUUCUGGCGAGUACCGUAUUGAUGCUUAAUUGGUGAGCUUUUGUCGGUUUUCAGAUUAGCUGUAAUGAUUUUAACCGGUUAGGGUCUUUCAGUGGACUCUAAUGUAUGUGAUGCAAUGUAAUGCGAAUGUAUGAAUGCAAAGAGGCGUCGAUUCUGAUUCAAUUUCAUUUAGAAAACUUUACUAGAAAACAAAAUUCUUUACAUAAAAUAGAUUACAUAUAUGGUUUUGCCCUAGUGCUCAGAAAUUUAAUUUUCCUAAGUAACGAAGCUAAUUCUUGUCCCCGACUUGAUUCCAGCUCAUACUUUACGCUUAGUGCAUCAGCUUGUACCACCAAAGUCUGCAGGUGAUCAGCUACCUCUCGAAUUUGAACCACAGCUUAUCCCAUGAUACGAUCUCUAUUUUCAACUUGAUUCUAAAAGUGGUGAAGUUGCUCCCUUUGAUGAAUUUCGUUGGUUUCCAGGUACUCAGUCCGGAUCUCACAAUUUCGCAAUGCCGAUUCCAACUCUUCUAUUCUUUCUUUCAUUUUUUUGAUCUUGCUCAAGCUCGCUCUCAAUUCCAUCGCGAAAUUUCAAAUUUGGUACUGAUGAAGAGAUCUUUCUAACUCAGCCACUCUACCUUUUAGUUCACAUUUUCCCUUUUGGUUCUCUGACAAACUCUUCUCUAAAGCUCCAUUUCGCGACUGAACCUCUCAGAAUUUCUUUUCCCAUCCAUCAGCCUUGAUCUUUUCUUCCCGAAUCUCUUAACGCCACUGUUCUAAAGUUUUCCCUAGCCCAGCAGUUCAUAUUGAUAACAUCAACUUCUUAUAGUCUGUCUUCAAAGUGUCCAAAUCUUCCUCAGCUUUGUUCUUACCUUUUCUUAAUUUCUCAAUCUCUAACUUUUGAACAUCCACAUCUAAUCCCAAGUGCAUCUUUUCUUCUUCCAACUGCUCGAUCUUUUUUCUAAGCUCUGCAUUCCUCUUCUCAAAAUCUUACUUUAUAAUUUCCAAUUCAGAGGGAACAACCCGCAAAAGUUCUUCUAUCGAUAAACUGUCUCCUUGACCUGGUCUUGGGAUAUUAUCUUUGAUUCUUCUAACCCACCAUUCAUUAUAUUCAGGUGUCGUCAUCAAGCCUACGGCUAAUCUCUUCAUCUGUCGAAUUUGGUCCCAUGCACUGGUUAUCUCUCGAAUCUUCUUUUUAUAGACAUUGUCUUUAUAUGAGAAUUCGAACUCAGCUAAGCCUUGGGUUGCAGGUCUAAACUGCCUUGACCUGUACUGUCUUAGCACCAUCAAUGGAGCAUAACCAACAGCUCCCCAGAUUCUAAGUAAUGGGACCCAAUCAAAAUUACCACAUCGGUACGAGAUCUCAUCCGGAAGCAACCACUGGGCUCUCCACUCGAUGUCCUCCUCAUGAAGAUUCUGAAGAAUGACCAACCAUUUCUCUUCUGAGAUGUCAUCUCUCCUUGGUGUAGCUGCUAUCUCUUUUAAUGGCGAAUAAUUUUCAGGGAAGACUCGAUACGAAACCUUAUCAAUUUUCCAAAAAUAACCGUAGAACCAUGCAAGUAGAAGCUGCAUACAUCCGAUGAAUCUGCCUUCACCCCUCCUUCGACAUGAAUUCAGUGACCUGAAGGUUUCUGCCAAAAUUGUCAAAACUGGCAUAACCCUCUUAUCAAGUCAGCCAAAGAGAUCUAAGGUCUCCUCAUCUACGUGCCCUAGGGCCCUAGGAAAAAUUACUAGCCCAUAAAUGCUUAGAGCAAAGACGUCGACCUUCUUCCUCGCAUCAGGGUGUGCCAAAAUCAGCUCUUGCAGGCUUUUCUAAGGGAUGCAUUUGCUUUCUCCGUUCUUCUUGAUUCGUGCUGUGACCCACUGCUUACUCAUUCCGGUGAUGUUCAUCAACUUCUUUACAAAGGUUAGGACAUUAACGACUCUAGAGUAGACUUUAUCAACUUGGAUCUUAGGGCAACGAAGUAAAGCUGUAUAUUCCUCUAUAGUGGGCACUAAAUCAACCCUUCCAAAGGUAAAUCAACCAUAUGCGGGGUUCCAAUACUGAGCGAGGGCCCGAAACAGAUGUUCAUCUACCUUCAUGUCGAGUAGAUACGACAAAUCCCCAAAACUAAAGUUGAACAAUUGCUUAGUUUCGUCAUCCCAAUGAUCCCAUAGUACUUUUAAUUCCUAAAGGCUAUUUUGCGUUACACUGAUACGGGUGUAGCCCCACAACUCCGACGUGUACCCCCCGACUAGACUAUCUCCUUUCUGUAAUUGUGUUUUCCCCGACCACAUACGGACAACAGCAUUGUCCUCUACUUUAUCAAGAAAUCUGUUCUCCAUGGCAAGCUUUCUAAUUUAGUAAUCGAACUUGAAUCGACACUCUUUUGAAUAUGAAAUGACAUGCAAACAUGGCAAAAGGCAUCAUAAGUUAGUACAACAUACAAAAACACAACUUUAAGCAAGUAAAAAAAAAUCAACACCUCUCGGGGUAACAACUAGAGUUUCCGCAAUAUGAUCGAGGGUGGAUUCCUAGUGUUUCCUAUAUGCAGUUCGGUUCUAAAGUUGAGGUACUUGAACCAGAAGAUUUCUCGAUCCUCACCCAUUAUAGGCUCAUACGGACCGAGUUCGGUUCAGGGGAAUACAUUUCCCUAUGGCUGCAUGGAGAUGAAAAUAUCACGAAGAUAUAGGUACGGAUGUAUCCCGGAAGCAGUCCACUAUCCUGCACGGAGGUGAAAACCUCACGAAGGACUAGUUUCUCACUCCCACUUAAAAGGGUAAGACUAAACAGUCUGUAUGCAAUAUGAUGCUAAGAUAUAAAACUCAAUUUACAGUAAUCAUACCAUACACAAAUGCAAUGAGAGGAUCGUAAUUUUUCAAAUUAAAUUUUCAAUUUUCAAUAAUAAGACAAAAACAAUCAAUUUUACAGCUUGACUCUCUUGAGGUCCCUAGUGGAGUCGCCAAGCUGUCCAAACCAUUUUAACAAAAAAUUUAGUAGUCGACUUGAAAAUGAAACGAAAAUUGGAGUCACCACCGACCCUUUAAUAAGGUGUCAUCGGCUCAGCUUGAAAAUGAUUUUGGUCUGCGAAAUUUGAGAAAAUAGGUUUGGGAGUUCGUUACGCACGAGGAAAGGGUUAGCACCCUCGUAACGCCCAAAAUUGGUACCGAAUUGAUUAAUUAAGGUCUUAAUUUCGAAUAUAAAAAAUUCGUGAAGAAUUUUAAAAAUUAUGAUCCUCCCUUUUAUUAAUGUUAAUUUUAUAAAAGAUGCUUGGAUAAACGAGAUGAAUGCUAAAGACCUUCUCGUCUCAGAGUAAUAAGAUGUCACGCCCAAUACAUUAGGACACGAAAUUUUUAGUCCUCGAGAAUGAGCUUGUCUUUUGAUUUUCAAAACUCUUGCGGUGGAGUUAAAAAGGGAUAUUCAGUUGCUUUAAGUCAGAUGAAAAAUUGAAACUUAAUAUAUUAGGGCACAAUUUCUCUAAAUUCCUAGCAUUGAAUAUAGCCCUUAUUAUUUAAAUAUUCAUUUCGAGAAAAUGACACGUCACAUCCAAUACAUUAGGACACGACGUAUCGAAUUCCCGAAAGUGAUUUUUUGGUUUAUGCGCUUUGAUUGUAGAAAAUUUUUGAUUAUUUAGAUUCAACGAGGAAAAUUGGAACCCAAUACGUUAGGGCUCCAUUCCCUCGAAGAUUCCAAAUUUUGGGUAUUGCGUCAUUUUGAAAGUUUUUGGAUAAAUUGGUUUUGAUACUCAAAUGAAAUUAAAUGUAAUUCUUUAAAAUAAAAAUGAUUGAUUAAUGAUGUACAAUGCGAGAUGAUGAUUCAUGAACUAAAACGUAUACUAACGAACGUCAAACAAUCAAUAAAUAUAAAUAAACAAUACAAUAUAACAAUGGCAAGAAUCUCAUAUUAUAUGUUGGCAGAUAUUAAUAAGAAUUAAAAGGAAUAUCGGGUAAAUUAAUAUAAACAAUUUUUGAAAUAGACUAAAAAGUGAAUAUCAUACAAGGGUGAAAGUUGAAAAUUAUUAAUAAAUCACAUGCAUCAAAUUUUAUCACAAUAUAUAUAUAUGCGAAUUUGAAAUAUAUUUGAAGGAAGAUAAGAGAAACACUACGUGAAAUUAUAAUAUUAAAAUGAAUUUUAAAGUAAAUAAAAAUAUAUGUGUAACAUACCAAAUAGCAUACAUACAUUAAUCUAAAUAAGCAACAUGUAUAUGAAAAGAAAAGUUUAAUAAUAACACAAAUAAUACUAGGGUUAAUAAAUAAUAUUAUUAUUAUCAAAUUAAUUACUACAUAAAAAAAACCAAAGGGAUUAGACUAACUUAAAAACAUAAUUAAAAGAACCAAAUGAAAAUAAAACAAAGUAAAGGGGCCGAAUGCAAUGCGUGGAUAACUUGGGGGACCAUAUGGGAAAUAAUCCCCGUCCCUCAAGAACACAGCAUAUAAUCUGGGCCCAGAUGAAAGAAAAGCAAAAUGAAGUGCGAAAUUUAUAAAUAAAUAAAAACUAAUAUGAAAACAUUAUGAAGUAAAGGGGACCAAAUGCACAAAUAACCCUACCAAGGCCUCAACGCGCGGAUCUCAGCCGCUUCUGGGUUGGGUCAUCGGGUUAAGCAGGUUAAACGGUGUCGUUUUGAGGGUUGUUAACCCUAGCCCAAAACGACACCGUGCAACUAUAUUAUUUAAACCUAAAUUUUUUUUAGCUCAGUUUGCUUAACAAAGAAAAAAUAAAAAAGAGGGCCGUCCCCUCCUCUCGUCUGCGGUAGGGUUUCAACCCCAGUCUUACAUCACCGAAAGCUCCACCGAUUUCUGGCCUCACAGCCCUCGCCCGAACUCCGAUUGAGGCGAAGUGAACGAGGUUUCGGUUGAUGCUAACAUAGAGGUAAGUAUUCCUUCCUCUAUCUUUAUUUUACAAGUGUCGAGAGUAAUAAGCGAAUCAGAGAAAAUAUAAAACGGAGAAAAAAAAGAAAAAAGAAGUCACAUUCAGCAAACUUUUCUUUUUUGAUUGCUCUUGCUAUUUUUUUUGUGUUUGUCUGCGUAACCAUUUACAAAGGUUUCGCCUUUUGUUUUAUAGGCCGAAAAAAGUAAACAAAAAAUGAAAAAUACGAAAAGUACAAAUUUUUCUGUUUUCUGCUGCGUUGUUUGCAUCCCAUUUGUAGGUGUAUCGGGGCAGAAAUCGACGUAGAGGUACGGAGGCGAAGGCGCAUGCGUGAGGGCAGAGGCUUGACACGCGCGGGGGGAGUCAGGGCUAUUGUGACGCUCGGGCUUGCUCGUUGCUAGGGUAUCGGCCUUGAUUUGGGUUGGGUAUUGGGCUGGUGUUGGGUUUGUAACGUUUGGGCUUAGUGGGUCUAAUGUGUUCGGGUUUAGGGUGUCUGAAACUUUAGGCUAGUUGGGUCUACUAGGAUUUGGGCCUGUUGAUGUAAAGAAUUGGACUGUGUUAUUUUUUGGACUUUUAGUUUUUAAUUUGGUUUUAUUUUAUUUAUUUGUUUAUUUGAUUUAUUUCACUAACGGGCCUUGCAGAUUGGGCCUAUUACAAACCCAAUAGAACGUUAUACGAAGAGAAAUUCAAGAAUGAUGCCAAAAGAAAGAAGCAAAAGAAAAAGAAAAAUAAAAAGAAACGGUGAGGGAGAAGAAGUUAAUGUAUAAGGAAAUUCAUUUAAAAUCUUAAGAUCGAUAUUUACGAAGAAGUGCAAAAAUAAUAUUCCUUAAUGCACACACAAAAAUUCAAACAUUGGACCAUUGAAACAAACAAGUGUUUAACCAUUGAACUAAUAUGUUCAUUCUUUAAACCUUAACACACAGAAUCUAAGUUAAGUGAUACAUGAAAAUCUAAUAAUUUAAUUAAAGAAUACGCAAAACUUGAAAACACAUGACUCAAACCUCAGACCUUUAGUGAGGAACCAAAGCACAUUACCAUAUAAACACCUCACAUUUCCAUUGACACAAACUAAAAAGAAAACUCGUAUUUUUAGGGUGUUACAUAUUUUUUCGAUGUUUUAAUUGAAAUGCAUCAUGUUUCUCUUGACUUUAGUAGAGGCUAACACCUGUAUCUAAUAUGACUUUUUACAUCCUUAGCCUCAUCUGUCAUGUCCAUUAACACGUGGAAAAUACCUGGCAAUCCAUGCGCAACACCUCAAUGCUUUUCUCCAUACCAUUCCAACAUCAAAUGACUCCCUCCUCCUUUCUUCCCUAACGCUCUUCCAUUCUUGAUAAUUUGAAUUUCAUCAACUGUACGUUGCACAAUAAAACACCCAAAAGUUUCACAGUUCAUCCAACCUUAUUUAGAGAUGAUAUAUUGCUAACAUAUACUUACUGUAGUUGUAGAAGGGAUAGUCCCUUCAGCAAGAUGCUUGUUCAAGAACAGACAAACCCAUCAAAACCCAACUCUUCCAUGCAAUAAUUCAACAAGGAGAUCUGUUGAGAGCUUAAUUUGAUUAAUUUAUUCAUAGAAAUUACAGUAGCAACCAUAAAGUUGAAAAAUCAUCUAUAGAGUACCGUUAUAAACGAGGUUAAGUAAUGAUUAAGCGACUCUUGAUUUCCAGCCUACUUUGUGGCCUCAACAUCAAGAGCAUAAACAUGGAUAAUUAUUAUUAGAGUAAACUACCAAAACAGUUCAUUUUCUUUAUGUCAGGUUACAUUUUAGUCACUUAUGUUUGAAAUAUUACGUUAAAUAAUCAUUUCAAACGAAAAUUUUAACGUGCCACAUCAGCUUACCGCUACACCAUUAACAACAAUUAAUGACUCAGUAACUAAAAUGUUACAACACAUUAAUGUAAGUGACUAAAACGUAACAUUUCAAAUAUAAGUGACUAAAAUAUAACAUAAGGUAAAUAAAAGUAACUAUUUUGGUUGUUUACCCUUAUUAUUAUUUAGAGAGAUAAAUAAAACAAUUUAUCUUCCUCUAUUGCGCAUUUAUAUAUAAUUUAAAUAGAGAAAAAAUAGAUAGAAUAUAAAUAUAGAGUUUUGCAUCUUUUUAUAUCUCCUAAAAAUUUCCUAUUUUUGGUAAUUGAUUGAUUUCUGAUUGCAGUGGUUUGUUUGACCAACUGAUUCUAUUAAUUGAUUUGAUCAACUGAUUCUAUUAACAUCCAUUAUGAAAUUUAAUUAAUGAAUAUUUUUGAAAUUUUAAAUAAACAAAUUUCUUAAGUUCCUUAUUUACAAAUAUUAACUUUAUGAAAAUUAAUAAAUAUUAAUAGUGUAUCAAUAUAAUUGUAAACUAUAUUUUUAGUGAUAAUUUUGUCAUGUUCUUAGUAUGUAAUUUAGUGAUAAUUAUGUCACACUCUAAAUGAAUUUGUUAAGUAGCAUAUUUCAAUUAAUAUAAAGUUGCAUAAGAAAUCAUUUUACACAAGUAAAUUGAAAAUAAAUUAAGAGUACAUAAAUAUUGAAUGAUGAAUUGGCUCGAUUGAAAAUUUAUCGUGGCAAUGUUGAUUUUUGUAGAUUCACGGUGGAGUUUUAAAAAAAAUUUACUUUGGACUUUGGAGGUGAAAGUGAAAAUAAGAGAAUGGAGGCUAUUGAUAUCUUAGCACCCCUAUUUGAGAGCAUGUGGCAGAUAAAGUAAUUUUUGAGCAAGCAUGGUUAGAUAUGUCAUUCCACAUAUCUUAUUCCCUAAUGUUGAAAAAGUUACCCAUCCCAACAGUUUUUUAUUUUGGAGGUUUUAGCUCAAUAAGCUCUUGCAAACCUCCAUUCACCAAGUACUACAAUUAGAGGGUUUGAUUACCCAAUCCUCCAUUUGUGCACAAAUAAACUAAAAAAAACCCAAAACUCUGUUUAACAAAUAUCUCAUAGCCCAAUUUAAGUAAUGAAGCAAAUAACAAAAUUGAUUGUAUGGGUAAAUAGGAUACAACCCAAUUUGAGUAACGAAGCAAAAGAAGAAAGUGAAUUAUGUACGAAAAAAAUAAAGAAGAUGAGUUCAAAUAUCACCCAUGGCUAAGCAUAGGUUGAGGUUGCUUGUGUCAACAGGUGAAGUAAUAAAUUAUUUUAGGGGCAAAACCGAAUUAUAAUUUUUGUAACAACCCAUUUUCGGUAAAAUCAGAAUAGUGGUUUUGGGACCAUAAAUCUGAGUUCGAAAAGAAAUUUUUAAUAUUAUUUUAUGGUCUACAGUAUGAUAAUAAUUUCAUAUGAAAAUUUCAUAAAGAAAUUUUACCGAUUACAUGUUUAAUUUGAUAAAAGACCAAAUUGCACAAAGUGCAAAAGUUGAGUUCUAAUAGCUAAAGGGAUUAAAUAGCUAUAGAAUUUUAAAUUGGAGGUCUUUAUAUGGUAAAUAGACCAUUAAAAAUGCUUAGUGAUUAAGGAAGAUGAUUCAUCCAUGGAAAAUAAAAUAAAGAAAAGGACUAAAUUGGAAAGUAAAAUAAUAAAAGAUGAUAAAUGAUAAAAUAAUGAAAAUAUAAUCAUUUAUAUCAUCUUUCCCAAAUUAAAAGUAUGGAAACCCUAGCCAUGGAAACCUAAGCUCAAUCCAACUUAUUUUGCUUGAUUAGGUAAGUAUUCUUGCCCCGUUUUUAAUGAUUUUUAUAUUUUCGAGAUUGUAAUAGCUUAAUCUAGCUAUCUCGGGGAUUAAUUUGUAAAUUUAUCAAGGUACUAGGGUUUUUCCAUGGAAUAACAUAGAUGAAUUAUGAAGUUUUAUGGUAGAAAAUGAAAGAUUGUUGAUAGAUAAACAACUUUUGUAAAGUGAAUUUUUAUGAAAUUAAAUUUUUAGGGACUAAAUUGAAAAGAUGUGAAAUCCAUGAAAAAAUUCUAAAUUUUAUGAAAUAAAUGGGCUGUAAAUGUUAUAUAUAAAAUUUAGCUAGGCUUGGAAUAAGGAUUAAAUUGCAUGAAUUUCAUUUUUCGAGCCUAGGGACGAAAUCGUCAUUAAUUAAAACUAAAUGGGCAAAACGGUAAAUUUUCCUAAGAUGUGAAUUGGACUGAAUUGAGUAUAAAUUGUAUUAAAUUGAUGUUAAAUUUACUCGUAUAGAUCCGGAUAGACCAAAUUAGGAGUUAGAACUAGGAAAAGAGAAAGUGUCGGAUUAGUAGAUUUUACGUGCAUGAACAUUUGUCGAGGUAAAUUCUUAUAAAUAAAUUUUGUAUAUUUAUAUGUUUGAAUUAGAUGCUGUAUAUGUGAAUUGUAUAAAUGCCGUAAGUGUGAAAUUGAUCACAUAUCCGAUAAUACCUUAGAAAUAAUAAGUCUCGUUUGGAUAAAGGAAAUUUGAUGGAUACAGAAUUCACGAUUGGUUGUAGUUCUGCAUAUGUUGCGAACACACCAUAGCUCUUACGAGGGUCCCGUUAUAAGCCCUCUCGAGCUUCCCGUUACAUGGUUCUUGGGAGCAUCCCGAUUGGUAUUGAUAUUGCAUAUGUUGUGGACAUACCGCAGCUUUUUGUGAGCGUCCUAUUAUAUGAUCGGUAGUGAUCCUGCAUGUGUUGCAGAUAUACCGCAACUCACUGUGAGCAUCUUGUUAUAUGGCUCUCCGGAGCUUCCCGAUAUUGCUCGCUUGAACUUCCAGGAUUUAUGGCUAUCCGGAGCUUCUGAUUUAUGGCUCUUCGGAGCUUCCCGUUAAAAGCCUUUUUCUGAGCUUCCUGAUUUAGGCUCUUAUGAGCUUCCUGUUAUAGCCCGGAUAAGCUUUCUGCUACAUGACUCACAUGAGUUUCCCGUUAUAUGGCUCGAAAGAGUGCUUUCUGAUUAUGUGCUCUAAUGAGCACUCCUGAAUAUGAGUUGACAGAUUAUAAUUGUACACCUCGAGUGUGCUACAUGUUUUAUCCAUCAAUAUUGCAAAUAAAUUCAACGAGAAAAAUCCUGACAUGAGAAAAUAUGAGCAUGAAAUGAAUUAUUAUACUUAUCUUCCUGAAAUACAUGAAAAUGAUGAUGCAUGAUAUAUGGAAUUGACCUGUCCAUAGGCCGGGUCGGGCCGGGCCUGGAAAAAAAUUUUGGCCCACCUUUUAGGCCCGGCCCGGCCCGAAAUAUGGGCCUAAAAUUUUUCCCAGGCUCGGCCUGGGAAAAAAAUAAUAAGCCCGAGCUCGGCUCGAUUUUUAAUAAACACAAAAGAAAUAUUUAAAAAAAUAAUUUUUUUUAAAGUAUUUUAAAAUUAAAAAUUAAAAAUAUAUAUUUAUUAUAUUCGGGCCGGGCUCGGGCCAAAAAAGUUGAGCCCGAGCCCGGCCCAUUUUUUAAACGGGCCUAAUUUUUUUACCCAAACCCAUAUUUCGGGCCUAUAUUUUUACCCGAACCCUCCCAUAUUUCGGGCAGGCUGUCGGGCCGGGCCGAGCCGCCCGGCCCAUGGACAGGUCUAAUAUGGAAGUAUGAAAUGAUGAUAUAUAAACAAUGAAUUUGUUUGAUGAAUAUGUUCAUCUAUGAUUAUAGAUUUGUACACCUCGAGUGUACUUCCCAUGUUUCCAUCGAUAUUUCAAUUGAUUUAAUGGGUAAAAUCCUGAUAUGAAAUAAUCUGAACUUAAGACAAAUUAUUAUGAAAAUGUACUUGAAAUACAUGGAUAUGAUUUGUAUAUGUUAUAUGAAUUCAUGAUGUGGAAAAUAUAUGUAUAUGGAAAUUUUGUUAUUGUUGAGCCUAAUCAUAUUUCUUGAUAUUUGAAUGAAAUAUAUGACUAACAAGAGUAAUAAGGAUAUGUGUUAGGGCUUGUGACCAAAUUGGUUGAUUAUGUCUUGCAUGUUUAUCUUGAACAUGAAUGAAUGGUAAGUUAAUUACCAUGUUAUACGGGCUUACUAAGCAUUUCAUGCUUACUCUGUUUUAUUUUCCCCUGUCCUAUAGUAAUUAGGAAGCUCGUUGGAUUGGAAGUUUUGCGGAGAUCACUCACAUUAUCCAUCAGCCCAUUUCGGUAUAUAUGGUAAAUCAAUUAUGGUUAUAAUGGCAUGUAUAGGUUAAUUGAUCAAUAUUGGCAUGUAUAUAUUUUGGUUAUAAUUAGCCAUUGAUAUGACUUGUGAUGAACAUGUUUUGAUUUAUAUAAGAAAUUAUGUUAUGUUUGGCAUGUGUUUGAAAUGAUUCAUUUAAGCUAGUAUAUUUGAUAAAAUACGCAUAAAGGUGAACUUGGUAUCUAGGUAAGUAUGAGUAUAAGAUUGGCAUGAUAAUAAAUUAUCAUUUAAGGUGCCUAAAGGCACAUUGGUUGAAUGUUUGUAUUGCAUUAUGAAUAUGUAAAAAUGUUGGUAUAGGUGGAAGACAAAUUGGAUGAGAAUGUGGCUUGACAAAUAGCCUAUUUUCAUUCACACGGGUAGAGACACGGGCGUGUGUGACACAUGGCCUAGAACAUGGGCGUGUGAUCUGGCUGUGUGUCCUCUACAUCUUAAAAAUUAAAAAAUAGAAUGCUCAGAAUUGAUCACAUAGCUUGGCACAUGGGCGUGUGAUUUGGCCGUGUAACCCCUACACCUAUACACGGUCUAGCACACAGGCGUGCGACUUGGCCGUCUAACCCAAGUCAGAGAGUUACACGGCCUGAGGUACGGACGUGUCCCUUGGCUGUAUGAGCCACACGGCCUGACCACACGGGCGUGUGUCCCCUGCACCUAGGCAAAAUUUUGAUAUUUGAAAUUUUUUUGAGUACCCGAUUUAGUCCCGAUUUGAUUCUAAUGUAUAUUUUGGGUCUUGAGGGCUCAUAUAAGGGACAUUAUGAUUGAUUUCUGAUAUGAAUGCUAUAAGACAUGAAUUUAUUUGUUUAUCUGAUCCGUAAAAUCUGGUAAUGCUCCGUAACCUUGUUCUGACGACAGAUAUAAGUUAGGGGUGUUAUAAUUUUUUUGAGAGAAUGUAAUUUUAUAAUAUACUAAUAUACGAUUUUAUCAUUUUUGAAAGGUUGAACAUAAUUUUGUUCAUACCUUGAAGGGUCAAAAUGUAAUUUUAUUAUAGAUUAACUUGUAAUUUUGUUAUUUUUAAAGAGACUAAACUGAAUAUUUCCAUUUUUAGGGGCCAAGACCACUGCUAGUUAGACCUGCUCAUGGGUCGGGUCAUUCGUCCUAGCCCGAAGGCCCACUCAAAAAAUAGGAGAAUUUGAAUAAACAUACGAGGUCCAAGAAAUGGGAUUGGGUAAAAUUUGAAGCCCAUUUUUCUAUAUGGGUCGAGCUAAGGACAAGAUUUUUUGGCUUGAGCCUCGGCCCGACAUAAGUAUAUUAUGUUAUAAAAAUAAUUAUAUUAAUUGUAUAUGUUAAAUAAUAAUUAUAUAUAUUAAAUCAUCAACCCAAUAACAAUUAUAAUUCAUUACCCAAAACUUAAAAAAAGCUUACCCAACUAAAUAACACAACCCAAAAUAUAAAAUGUGUUUUUUUAAUAUAAUAAAAUAUUUAUUAUAUUUAUGAUAAUUUUUUUAAAAUAAAUAUUUUUUAAUGUAUUAGAAAAUUUUUAUUUUAACAUUUUUAAUACAUUUAGUGUAAUACUUUUUUUAAAAAUUAAAUAAAAACUAAUCUAAAAAUAUCAAAUAUGGGCAGGUUAAGUCAAACCCGAAUUUAUCUCUUUUAAAUUGGAUUGAACUUGAUCAAAAGAAUAAACUUAUUUUUCGAAUCGAAUCGGACCAAACUUAGAAAAUUGAUCUAAAUACUUUGCACAAACUCAAUCUAAAUUCGACCUAACCCAACCCAACCCAUCAGGAGCUCUACUACCUACCUCUUUAGCUUUGCCACUACUUGCGUCAAUAACGCAAAUAUGUGGUGGGGUAGGGGCGGAAAAUGCAGGCAAGGCAUGAAGAAAGAAAGAGAAAGGCAACGGUUUGUUUAAGGUCCAAAGCAGUGUGUUUGAAAAGAUGAGAUAGAGAAGACUAAGGUUUGAUGAGAGUAUCUCCAAUUUCUUCUCGAUUGUUUUUAAAACAAAUAGAUUUGUGCAUUUUAAUUAAUUUUUUAUGAUUUACUGUUUGCAUUCAAUAAUUUUUUAAUUUAAUGAUUCUGAGUUCUGAAGAUAAUGAGGGAUGGAAACUUGAAUGAUUUGCUAAACCUUGGGGUUUUUUUUUUUAUUUUUUAAAUAGAAGUUUUUAAUUUGUUAAGAUUUUCCAUUAAAAUAUAAAAAAAUAGCCUUAUAUCCUUCAAACUUAGAUUUGUGUUUUAAUUAUUAUGUAAAUGGUAAGAAUGGAGUGAACAAAUUAGUUGAGAUUCGUUAUAACAUAUAUUAAAAAAAAGUAUAAAAACAUAUAUUUAUCAAAUCCAAAAAUAUUUUAAAGAUUUGAAAUUCAUUACCAAACGAGUUUCUAACUAAUCCAUGGAUUUGAGAAAUGAUCAUGAAUGCUAUAUUUUUAAAUUAUUUUCUGCUUAAUUUACAUUAUCUUUGAAAUCUAAAUCCAAAUUCUAAAAUACUAGUUCCUAAAUACUACUUAAAAUUUUUUAAAAUAAUUUCAAAGACCAAGGAUUGAAUUAAUAAAACUAUAAAGGUUGAGGACUAUAAGGGUUAUUCUACCUUUGCUAAAUAAUUGCCACAUUCACAAUUGAUGGAAAAAUUGGAUUAAAGGUGGCGGAAGGACAAGUUUUUUAAAAAAUAUAUAGAGAAAAUUAAAAUCUCAAAAUUAAAAUAAAAAGAUUAAAUUUUAAAAUAUUAGAGUUGUGUGACCCGAAUCUCGUUUGGUCCGGCCUGAAAAGUUCGAGGUACAACUCAUUUGUUAAAGAAAUAAAAUAGAGAGACAAAAUUGUGGAUAUGUGGGAGCGAAGGUUUAAGGCUGUAGCUCACCAUAGAUCCCCAUCCACCACUCCGCCUCCGAGGUACGAAUCUUGCCGUUCAAGUUGAAUCAAUAUAGGAAUAUACUUCUUCUAUUAGACGUUGAUUAUAAAAUGGUUGUUUAACCUUUAAAACAUUUGUAGUUGAAAACCUCUUGUAUUGUUAUUUUUCAACAUUAGUGAAUUUAUUCUUCUCUACCCAUAGUUUUUUCCAAUAAAGGUUUCCACGUAAAAUAUGUAUUCUUAUUACUUUGCGAUCAAUUCUACUACUAUUAUCAACAUAUAGUAUAACAUAAAAAAGUAUUUAAUGUAUUUAAACCUAAUCAAAAUUUAAUGUUGUCUACCAAGGAAUUUCAACAACUAUACUUUUCUUUUCGACAUUAGCCUUUCAGGUAUAAUAGCAGAGGAGUGUAGCUAUGAUAUACUGUAAUUUGUACCAAGAGAAGUGUGGUGAUAUGGAUGAUAUACCAACUCUCAACUUUAGCUUAAGUGAAAGCAUAUUUUCUUAUAUGUUAUAAAUUAUGGGUGGAGCCAGUUUAUUAUGGUUUAAGUUUUCAAAUAUUAUAAGAUGUUUUUAUUUUGAGAUCUUGCUAAAUUUUUAACAAACGAUUAUGGAAAAUAUUGAAUUUAUUGAAAGUAUGUGGUUACUAGUGUAAUAAUAUGAGUAAAAAUAUAUUUAACACGUGUUUUAAAAUAGUUAGACAUAAAAUUAAGAUAAUUAGUAUAGAUUUAAAUAUGCAAUUAGAAAUAUGAGUGAAAACUCUUGUAAAAAAUAAGACCUCUUCAAAAUAAGCAAAAACUUUUCCUUCUUUUUGCUACAAACAAGUCAUGUAAGUGGUUAAAAAUUACCAAUUACGAACAAUCUUAUAACUAAUGACUAAAACAUGUGGAGAAAAUAACACUUCAACCAAACGUAGCAUUAAUUAUAAAAAUAAAAUUUAAUUUGAAUUUGAUCAAACUUAAAAGUAAGAAAAAAAAACUUUAUCCAGAUCUAGAUUUAAUCAACAGCUUGCCAAUGUUUUUAAAACUGGAUUGAUGGUCGAACCAAUUAGAUCAUCGUUUCGUCGGUUCAACCGGUCUGAUUAAAAAAUUAUUAAAAAUUCAAAAAAAAUUAGUGCAAUCAACUUUUUAUCCUAUUAACUGAUCCAUACUGGUUCCCGAACCAACCAGUUUAAAACCCCUUUUCAAAUUGAUAUCCCAAUUGAUUCCUAGUCCAAUCGAUCAAAUCGACUGAUAUGAUUCAAACAACAUUCAACUCCCCGUAUCUUACCCAACAUUGUCACCUUUUGAGAUUAGAGUCAAAGCUGAGUCAAAGCAGGGGUGACAUCCCGACGAGGAAUCACGCGACGUUUCAACAACGUGAUGAAUUCUAUCUCAAAGUAGCUGUGUAAUUAGACUUUCAACAGAGUUACUUUUCCCUGUUAAACUCAGAUUAUUCUAGAGAUAUUUUAGUCAGAUUAGAACUCUAAUCUUAGCCUAUAAAAAGGGCUUUAGUAACCCUAGAAUAGAUAUUUUCAUAACAUCAAGAUUAAGAUAAAAGAUUAAGAGAAAGCUUUGAGAGAGUUUUGAGGGGCUUUUUUGUUUUAGCCAGAGAGUUUUAUAUUUUGGGUUAGAGUUUGUUUUAAUUAUCUCCAUUUUGUACUAUUCAAUUAUUUGCUCAUUUAGUGAAGUCUCAUUUGCCCGUGGUUUUUUAUCCUCUUUAGUUGGAAGAGUUUUUCCACAUAAAUAUUGGUGUUUGAUCUUUUCUACUUUUCUUGUUUGUCGUUUAUUUGGGUUUAUCCCUAACAAACUGGUAUCAGAUCUUGGUUAGGAUUCCGUAAUCAACCCGUUCAGAGAUGGUGACAACGAGAUUCGAUAUUGAGAAGUUUGAUAGGAUCAUAAAUUUCAGUUUAGGUCAAGUUCAGGUGACUACAACAUUGGUUUAGAACGACCUGAAGAAUGAGAUAAGCUUGAUGAGAAGACUCUAUCUGUAAUUUAGUUGUGCCUUAUGAACAAUGUGUUGCAGGAGGUGUUUAUGGAGAAAACGACAUCUGGCUUAUAGAGAAAGUUAGAUACCCUUUACAUGACAAUGUCUCUGGCUAAUCGAUUGGUGUUGAAAUAAUGCAUAUACACGUUUUAUAUGGCCGAAGGUGCGUACCUUAGGGCUCACAUUAGUGAAUUUGUUACUUUCUUGAAUGAUUUAAAGAAUGUCAAGGUUAAGAUAGAUGAUAAAGAUCAGGCUAUGCUGUUAUUGUGCUAUUUGUCUCAUUUAUAUAAGUCUUUAAUGGAGACAUUGUGUAACAACCUGAUUUUUAGUGGUGUGAGAAAAAAUAAUUUUGGGACCAAAAUUUUGACGAGUGAGUUCGUAAAUGUUACCAAUUAAUAAUUAUGAAUAUAAUAGAGUGUCAUAUUAAAGUUUGGUCUAGUGAUUUUGAUGUUUGGUUGGUCAAUUAAGGAAAAAUGACUAAAUCGUAAAAACUAAAAAAGUUAAUUUCUAUUGACUUAUUUUAGUUAAGUGGAUUGAUUAAUGGUCUUUAAGGUUAAAAUUAGCAAUUUGCCCACUUUUCUAGGAAGUGGAUGGUUAGGUGUUUAUUUUCUCUAAAACAAUAGUAAAAUACAAUUCAAUUUUUAAUGGUUAAAAUGUAAAAAGAAACAAAAUCCCAUCAUCUUCUUAUUUUUGUUUUUUCACCAUCGAAAUAAACAAUUAGAAGAAGGAGAAGCCAUUGUUAAGCUUCUAGGAAACAUUCAGUUAUUGCAUGGUAUGAAUUUCAAAGACGUUUUUCGUAAAUUUUAUGUUUUUGAGAUCGUUGUAGCUUAAUCUAGGUAGCUCAGAGACUAUUUUGUAAAACUAUCAAAAAUUUUUAGUCACCAUUGUUGUUUUGAAUUUUAUUUGGAUGUUAAAUGGUAGAGUUUGGAACUUUGUUAGGAAAUAAGGCUUAUUUGUAAAGAGACGGUGGUUAGUUUUUAAAUUAGGGACUAUAAUGGAAAAGUUCUAAAAUUAGCUUGAGAUUUUUAUAAUUUUUGGUUUUAUAGGGUUAUCUAAGGAUUGAAUUGAAAAUGGUUUGAAGGGGUUUAAAUGUGAAAGUUAUAAAGGUAUCGAUUUUAAGGGAUAAAUUGAAUAAAAUUUAAAAGUUUAGGAAAAUAUUAUAAAAUGUUAAAUAAAUAAUCAUAUGCACAAAGUUAUACUUUAUAAGUAUUUGAAGUUGAUAAUUAAAUUAUAUUAUAUUAUAGAUCAAGAAACAAAUCAAUCGGUAGAUAAAUGCAGAAAAUGAAAAAUUGCUGAGUAGUCCUUGGUGUCGUGUUUGUUGCUGUUUCGGUUUAGGUAAGCUCGUAUAAUGAUUAGUUUGAAUUAUAAUUGUCUUGUGGUUUGGUAUAUAUGUAUAACUUGUAUUGAGUAGUUAUGGAGAAAUAAUUUUGAAUGCUUGAUUGACUGAAAGUGUGAAGUAUGGUAUAGACAAUGUAUGUGAUUGAAAAUGGGAAUUUCUAUAGUUGAAUUUAUGCGUAUGUAAUAAUGUUUAAGAACAGAAAGAAAUGGAUAUGAAUUGAGUCCCGUAUGAACAUAGUGAACAACUAGGAUAAAAAUGACAUGUCAUUAGUGUUAUUACUAGUGGCAGAGGUAGAAAAUCUUUUUGGGAGGGGGCAGAAGUAAAUUGUAUAUUUUUAUGAUAGUAAAAAUGUAAUUUUACCAUUUUAAUAGUCUAUAUCUUUAUAAUUUUUAAAGGAUUAAAUAAAAAAUUUUAUCAUUUUAGGGGACCAAAGUACAAUUUUACCAUUACUAAUUUAAAAUUCUAUAAAUUAUAAAGGGCCUAAAUGGAAAAUUUUCCAUUUUAGGGGGGCCAUCGUCUCAGGUACUGGUCUUGAAUGUUUUACCUAUAACACUCCCAUACCCAACCCAAUUGCUGAGUCAAGGCACCAGGAUAUCACAUUCGUUGCCGAAGCAACUACUGAAAAUUUUAAAUCAAUUUAUCAUAUUAUUUAAUUAAUGUAGAUCAUUAACUCAUUUUAGUAAUAACUGAAUUUAUGACAGAAAUAAUUAUGAGUUAAAGGAGCUAAUUAAAACAUCCAUAAUUGAUCAAAGACCAAAUUGUAAAGUUUAUAAAAAAAAUUGAAUUGUCGUCGCGACGUUGGGGGUUUCACGUUGUGACAUGGCAAACUUGUCGUCAUGACCUCGUCUCCAUUUUCCUACAAAUUCCACGCUUUAUUUUUAUUUAUUUAUUAUAUCAAUACCUAAAUCAUAUUCAGAUUUUAUAACCGCCACUUCAUUUUACAUACCUUCCACUUACAUCUAUUUCUAAUCUCAAGUCCUUAUAAAAACAUAGCAAUCAAUCAAAGAUAACAAAUUUUAUAAAAUUAACACAAAUAUUAAAGUUCUACAAAUAAGACCAUUGGAGGACUUGCACUUUCAAAAUUAGUUUACCCACUUUAUGUAUAUUUCAUAUUUAUUUCUAAAUUGUGCCAAUCAAUUUAAUUCGUCAUAAAAAUUUAACAUAGAUUUCAAUAUCACAUAAAUUACUAAUUAUUCACUUAUUAUUUUAUUAAUUCGUUUAAAAAUACUUACAUGUAUUAAUCAUUCCAUCGCUUACAACCAUUUCGAAACAUUUCAAAUUCUUCUACUAUAUAUAUAUAUUUCUCCACCUCCUCUCCAUUCCACAUCCUUUAUGUAUAUAUUUAUUAGAAUCUUUAGCUUUUAGUAUAUAAUUUAUUAAAAUUUUAGAAUUUAUAAUUUAGCCAAUGAGUAUAGUAAAUUCUUCAAAUUUGCCCCUGUUCUGUUGUUUGACGGCUUCCAUCUUUCUUUACUAAAAAAUAAUUAUCUCUUAGUGCGGGGUUCAGACAAUGUUUCCAUUUAUUUCUAUUGAAAAUAGACUCAUUAAUAAUUUAAAAAUAUAAAUUUAAACCCACAAUAAUUUUUUUUACAAUUUUUGAUGAUUUUCUAAAGUCAGAAUAGGGGAACCCGGAUCCACUCCGACCUUGUUUCACAAAAACUAAUAUAUCUCAAAAUAUAAAAUUCAAUUUCUUCACUGUUUCUUCCAUAUGAAACUAGACUCAAUAAGAUUUAAUUUCAUAUUUAAUUCAAUCUCUAACUAAAUUUCUAUAAUUUUUUGGUGAAUUUUAAAAGUUAAGUCACUGCUACUAUCCAAAUUGUUUUAGUGAAAAUAUUUUCUUUUCCAUGUUUCUUUGCACUAUCUUUCAUUCAAUCACACAUAAUUUCCAUACUUUUGAUUACUAUACAAUUUAAUCACUUAUGUUUAUGUGUAGAUUGCAUAUUCAUUUCCUAAUCUUAGCACUUUUCACCAUACAAAUCACAUUAUCUCUUUCUAAUUUAGUGUUUUAAGUCUCUAUUCUUCAUCAAAUACUUUCUAUUUCUAGUAUUUAGAUUAAAUACAUGUUUCAUACAUCUCAUUCAAAACAUCUUUAACUCAAUCUAUUGAAAUACAAGUAAGGUUAAUUUAAAAACUUAUAUCUUUUAGCAAGAAUUUCUUCUCUUUUGCUUUUCUUCCAUUUCAUUCUCAAUUUCAUCACUACCCUUCUCUUUCCAUCUGUUAUUCUUCACUUCCAUCUACUUGUUUCUUGCUUCUAAGUUGAUGAACAUACUCUCUAAGACCUUUACUUCCAUUUUCCGUUUUAAUGCUCAUAGAAAUUCUUAUGAUUUUGGGGUGAAAUAGUGGAAUUGAAUAAUCAAGGACCAAAUUGUAAAAGAAGGAAAUAUUUUUUUUCCUUCUAUAUACCAUUCAUGUUGGGGAGACAAGGAUGAAGAAAAUUUCAUCUUUCCUCUCUUUUUAUAGUACCAUUUUAUUAUUAGAAUAUUAUCAAAAUAUCUAAUUGAUUUAUUAUUAAUAUAUUAUUUAAAAUAUCACCAACAUCAUUAUUACAAUCCAAUGGCCCAUAUUUUAUACUUCAAGGCUAAGCAAAUCUAAUGAUCAUAAUUCAUACAUAUAUCCAAUGGCAUUUUGGUAAUUUUUAUAAAAAUGAUUUAUUUAUUAGUAUUUUGCUAAAUAACCAUUUUUGCCCUUGGCCAACUUUUAUAUUUCCAUUUAUGGCCUAUUCACUUUUGGUUAUCUUCACUUUUAGUCCAACUUUUCGAAUUUACACUUUAACCUCUCAACUUUUGAAUAUUCACACUAUGAUCCCAUCACUUUUCAUUUUUUCACAAUUUAGUCAAUACCUCAAAUUUAUAUCUCACAAUAUAAUAAUAUAUAAUAUAUUUUAUUUUAUAUUUUAUUCAUUUAUUUUUUCACCUUCUCCAUUACCUAAUACCUUCCUCUACUAACAUCGAUAUACUUUAUUUCAUUUACUCGAUAAUUUAAUUAUGCACUUUCUGAAUAUACCACUUUACAAAAUUUAGGAUGAUGAUUUUAGGGGCAUUAUAAACAUUCUUCCCUAAAUAAAAUUUUGUUCUCGAAAUUUUCUUAAUUUGAGUAACUAUAAAUUUCAUUAUUUCUUUACUUCCUUUUAUUGCCUUGAUAUCCUUUUGCCUUGUGAUCAUAUCUCUAAAAUUUCUUUAUCCCAUUAAUGUACACUUCACUUAAUCCGCAUUACAUAUAUCCUUCUAAUUUUUGACAUAAACCUUGACCUUCUAUUAUUAAACCACAAUAUACACUUCACUUAAUUCACAUUACAUCGCUAACAUAUAACUUACUAUACCACUCCAUGACCUCUAAUACCAAGUUUAGGAUAUUUUAACUUACUAAUUUCUAUUUAAAAUUAAAUAGUCUCUUCUCACUUUACUUGAUGGUCAUAGUAAACUUUAAUAGUUCAAUAAACUUAACACAUCACCUUUAGUUGUAUUAUUAAACUAAUACAUCAUUGUAUUAUUAUUAUUUUUUCAUUCAUUAUUUCUAAUAAUAGGAUUUCAAAUUAUAAUUUAAUUAAUUGAAUUUCGUAUUUCAUUUUUCUCUAACAUCCAUUAUCCUUUACUUUCUUUACAUCUUAUUUCAAGAAGAAUCUAUCUCACAUUAUUUUUUACAAGGGGGUUUUGAGGAUGUUACAUUAUCGAUGGCUAUGGUCCUGCAUUUGUUGUGGAUUCUUCAUAGCUCGUAUGAGUAGCAUCAUGUAAAGUUACCAUCCCGACCCUUAACUUGUGUGAGCAGAUCCAUAUUUAUAACUCGUGUGAGCAUUAUAUUCAUAGCUCGUGUGAGCCUUUUUAUCUCGUGUAUCCGACGUUAGUUUACUAUAGCUCAACGAGUGAAAAUAGGGUUUAUUAAAUGGAAAUGAUGGUACAAAUGAAUAACAAAGUAAUUAGUCUUAAAUGAGCCAUGUAUGUUAGCUUCGUAUAUGGUAUAAAGGCAUAAAUCAUGUUUUAUAUUCAAUUGUGAAGAAACUAACCUUACUGGGUUUGUGGUGUGCAUAAGAUAUCAAAUAAUGCCAUUUUUCCUAAUUAUAUAGUUAUGUGUUCAAUGCUUAAUUUAUAUUAACACCGGUAAGUUACGUUAAAUUCUGUACAAAAUUACUAAGCAGUGUGUAUGCUUACAUUUUCUAUGUUUGUUUUCUUGUAGAUAAUUGAAAAUUACGUGGUCAGUUGGAAAUUAAGUCGGAGCUCACAUUAUCCGUUCAACGACUUGGUAGAUUUUUGAUCAUUUUGGGAUAGGGUAUAAGUGGCAUGUAAAUAGGUGUUUUGGUUACAAAUGUGUAUUCGUAAGUUUGUGUUUUGAAAUGGUUACAUGAAUGUUAAAAUGAUAUUUAAUGUUAAGCUUCAAGAUGGGUGCCAUGUUUUGAUAUAAAUUGGUAAAUACGUUUUGGUCAUUUGGUGAACUUUGCUUGAUGUCAUAUUGGUAUUUCAAAUGAUGAUCAUAUGAAAAUGUUUAGGUAUGAGAAUUGUGAUAUGAAUAAUGAUGAAUGCUUGAAUGUAAAUGGUUGAAUUGAGGUGUCAUUUGUGGCAUAUUGGUUAGGCACUUAGGAUGAAUGAUUUAAGUUGUGCUUUGGCAUAUUUUUAAUGUUUUUGAAUAGGUUGAGGGAUGGUUUAAUGCUUGCUUGUGGUUCAAGUGAACUAGGGCUAUGUAUCUUGUUUGAAAAGGUUCUAUUAGGUAUACACAGUCUAACAUAUGGUCAUAUGUCACACAUGGGCAUGUGGCAUGGCCGUGUGGUCUGAUGUUUUGGGUAAUGAUUGAUGUACACAACCUCAGUGAGUUACACAGUCUGGGUACACGAUUGUGUGACUCCAACUUACACCGCCUUAGCCUGUUACACGAUUCAGGACACGGUCGUGUGACCUUUAUUAGAAAUUUUGCAUUUAGGUCCACACAACUUCAGUCUAUUACAUGGCCUGUCGACAUGGUUGUAUGACCUUAUUAUACAUGGUAUCAGUUUGUCACACGGUCUAACCACAUGGCCAUGUGACCCUUAUUUAUUGAAAUUUUCAUACUUUUUGUAAAUUUUAUGAUUACGUCCUUACAUAUUCUCGAGUUCGUUUAAAGGCUUUCGUAAGUUCGUUUGAGACCCGAAUUGAAUAUGAAUGCUAUGAAACAUGAUCGAUGGAGGUGUUUACAUGAAAUCUUGCAAGUUAUGUAUAUAUAAGAAUUUUGUAUGUUUUGUUUUUUGUCGUAGCAUCUUAUAGCUCGGGUUCAAUGACUAGGUCGGGUUAGGGGUGUUACUAUUGGGAAAUGUGCCUAUAUUGUGGUAAACAUGUAACUAUUUUCUAUUUAUUUUAACGAUAAAUAAAUAAAUAAAGUUAAUUUCACAUUUCACUAUUAUAUCUUUUGUAUUUUCUAUCUUUUAUAUUUUGCAUGCAUAGCGAAAUUGUGACAAUCAAAUAUUAGCUCAUUGAUUGUCUAAAGUUCAAACUGAAGAUAAGUGGCAUUGUAAAGAACGUUUACAUUACAAGAAUUACAACUUACUUCAGUAGAUAAUCUAAAUGAGUCUGUAAUCUCGUAAAAGAAUCAAAGUGAGCAUUUGAUUCAAAAUGCUAAGAAGGAUUAUUAUGUCGUCUACAAUUUCAAUUGGGGAGAUGGCUAGUCUUGGCUACCGGAGCAGUUGAUCUACGAGUAGAGACAUAGAUGUAUUCAUUGGUAGAAUGAUAUAUUGGACUGGACCCAAGAUGAAUUAAUUCUGAAUCCAUUUGUGAAUUAAUUCAUUUGUGACAUUCAUGGUGUGAUUUACCUAAAUCCUAAGUUAGUCACUGACUAUGCGUAUGCUACUCAUGUGCUUUGGUAUAAAUGGAGGCUUAUACUUUAAAGAUGAUCAAACCUAUAGUUGGUAUGUUGGGUACAUAACUUGUGUAUGACAUGGCUUUACUAGCAACAGUGGAAUUCAUAGCUCAAUUAAAGAGUUAAUGAUAUUAUCUUAAUGGAAUUGUGUGGAUUAAUAAAUAUAGAAUGCGGCCACGAGUUGCUUGUUCUCGAACGAGUAAUUUAUCACAAUCAUUUGUUGACAGUAAUCAUAUUAAUCAUUAAGAGGACAUAAUGUUGACAAUGAGAUAAAAUAUGAUUAUAUUGAGUGAAUGAAUUUAACUCAAAGGAAUCAAGGAUAUCAUAUGAGAGUAACACUCACAUGAUGAGGUCAUUGGACAAAUCAAUUGGAUGAAUUGCUUUUGUAAAGAGUAUGCAAUAAUGAAUUUUCAAUCAUGGUACUUCUUGUGGACUGACUCCAUGAUUAUGUAAUUGCGAAUUAUCAAAGCGAUGUUUCUAGACAUAAUUGCAAUGACUAGAGCCUAAUUGUAUAUGUCUGAUUAGUCCCUCCGCUAGUUCAACAAAAGCUCGAUUGGACUGUAUUUGAAUCAGAAGAAAAUUCUAUGACUUCGGGAAUAAUUUAAUUGAGUCGAUUUAUUCGAUGUGGAAUUAAAUUAGGUAGUCAUAAGAAUUGUUCAACUAGAGGAUUUGAUUAAAGAAUUUUCUUGAAAAAUUAAUUUGACAAAUCUAAGUGAUUUUUGGAAAAAUUAAUUUCGAUCAAGUAAAAUUAAAUUAAUCAAAUCAAUUAAAUUAAUAUGAUAUUUUUGAAAGUUAAUUUUCAAGUCAGACAAGUGGCCCAAUGGGUACUUGAACUUGAAAAUUGGAUAUGAGAUUGUAAAUUGGGUUUAGGAGCCCAAAAUCAAGAACAAGAUCCAAAAAUUGGUCGAACCGGGCCCGGUAUAUGAAACCGGGCUGACGGUCCAACCGGUGGUUAAAUCGAACCAGUCGGGUCAUCGUUGACCUGGACCGAAACUGCUCGGGGUGUUGGAAGGGUGUUGCACCUUUAUCACUGGACAUGGCAGUGUCAGUUGCUGUGACGUCCCGGUGGCCGGCGACAGUUGGUUGUCUGUGGUUGAACAGUGGAAGAGUUACGUUCUUACUGGAAUUCCACCUGAGAAUUUGAUUUCAGAUUAAUUAUUUCAAGAAUAAUAUUACUUUAAUAGUUUAAUAUUAAAUUUUAUUUAAUUUUUUUAUCUAAAUAGUAUUUUAUUAAUUUAAUUUUAAAGUUAUUAUCUUAAUAUUAAAUUUAAUUUAAUUUUUAUCUUGUAGAUAAACAUUUUAUUAUUUUAAUAAGAUUUAAUAUUAAAUUUAAUCCAAUAUUUAUCUUAAUAAAUAUUAUAUUAAUUUAAUAUUAAAGUGAUUAAGUUUAAUCAUAAUUGAACUCUGUAAUCUCUCCCUAUAUAAAAGGAGCAUUGGGUUAUUAUUUACACACACUUGAAUUGAAAAGAAAGUUGUAGAGAGAAAAUUCUCUGAAGAGAUUAUUCCAGAAAAUUUCUAGAGUUAUUUUCUUGAUUUACAACUUGACCCAAAAGUUUAUAGAAAUUUCAAUCCCACUGAUAAUUUUUGUGCAAAACUUCCUCAUUCGAAGCGAGCUCACACUUGGCAGACGUGAGCUUGAGGAUAGCGGAGAAGACUACUCGGUCGAAGCGCUAAUUCUAGACGAAUUGAAAAGGUAAAAUUGUUAUUAAGUGUUGAUUAAUUUAUAUAUCACAACUAAGAUCUUGUUUUGGAAAGUUUUUUAAAACUUUGGUUUUUCCCUAAAUUUAUUGUCCGUUGCGUUUUCCAAACUCGUUUUUCCAACAGUUACACCCUCAUUUAUUGUAGAGAAAAACUCUCAUUUGAGGAUGUGAAAGGAAACUUGUUGAGAAAAUACAAACUUGAGAAUGAGUUAGGUUCAAAUAGCAAGUCAUAUGGGCAAGUGUAACACCCUUAACCCUUAACCGUCACCGGAAUAGGGUUACGGAGCAUUACUAGACUUUUUAGACCAAUUACGAACAUUUCAUAUCACUUAAUGCACAUAUCAAAAACCAAUCACAAUUCACUUACAUUGUCCCUUAUAUGAGCCCUCGAGGCCCAAAAUAUGCAUUAGAAACAAGUCGGGACUAAACCGGAAACUUAGAGAAUUUUUCUCAAAAUUUCAAAAUUUUGUCUAGGUGUAGGGGAUACACACCCGUGUGACUCACAUGUCCAAGCGACACACUCGUGUCUUAAACCGUGUGAGCAUUCGAUAUGAGGCACACGGUCGUGUCCCAGCCUGUGUACAUAGUUGUGUAACUCUCUAACUUGGGUCACACGGCCAAGUCACAAGCCCGUGUGGUAGGCCUGUGUAAGGUGCAAGGGUCACACGGCUGUAUGCAAAAACCUGGGCAUUCUGUUUCUCAAUUUUAAGACACAGGGGACACACGGCUAGAACACAUGCCCACGUGCUAGGUCGUGUGUCACACAGGGCUGAGACACACGCCCGUGUCUCUUCCUGUAUGGACAAAAAUAGGCCAUUCUAAUGCCACUUUUCUCACCCAUUAUGUUAUCAACCUAUACACAACAUUUCAAAACAUCAAUACAUCCGAAACAAACAAUUAACACAAGCCAAAAUCAUGUUUUAAGCAUAACAUAACAUAACAUCACAAAUACUCAAUCACUUAACUUUACCUAUUUAAUCCAUCUCAUUGAUUUAUCAAAAUCUAUUUCUAUUUAUAUAUAUACAAGCAUAUAACAUUCAUAGCCAUAUUUUUAAGUAUUUCAUUUCCACACCAACCCUAUACAUGCCAUAUAAACCAAAAUAUACGUUGCAAAAGCUACCAGAUAAGCUGGAUAGUGUGACUUGAUGUGCUGAUCCAAUCUCCCGACCUCACGUUACUCUACAAGAACAUUAAACAACACAAGUAAGCUUAAUGAAGCUUAGUAAGUUCAAUAGGUUAAACAUAAAUCUUUCCCUACAUAUUAUGACAAAUUAUUUAAGUAAAUCAUUCAAUGUACAUUUCCUGCCAAUCACAACUUUAAUUGAUGAAUUCAUUUAUCUUAGAUCAAUACCAAUCGUACCAAUAAGUCUUAAAACAUUAAUUUCAUACGUCACUUACCAAUCCUUGCUAAAUCGGAGAAAGGCUUAUAGAUAUGAGCACAUCAUAUUCAGAAGCUCAAAGGCUGCACAGAAGCAUAUAAGUGCUAAACAGGAACCCGUAAGGGUUAAACGAAAGCUCAUACCGGUUGAAUGGAAACCUAUAAGGGUUAAACUGAAGCUCAAAAAAGUUGAACGAAAACCCAUAAGGGUUAAACAGAAACUCAUAUGAGUUAACAGAAGCUCGUGCGAGCUAAAUGGAAAGUAAACAUGAAUGUUCGCAACAAAUGUUGAACCUUGGUUUACUUAGGUAAUUUGCCAUCAAUUCAUCAUUUGCAUUUACCAUCAAUUCAUCAUUUGCCACAGAACGAUUGUACUUAAUCCGGCGUUCCAUUCGUUUUGAAAAAUCAAUUCAAUUUCAUAAUUUAAAAAUAAUUUUAUUUUCAACAAUAAAUAUGAAUAAUUACAUAAUACCAUUCAUCAAUUUAAUAAAUAAAUAUUAAAGUUUUACCAUACGAACUUACCUAGAUUUAAUUGUAAGAUUUGUAGUAGUUCAAAGACUAUUAUGCUAAUUUCCCCUUUUCACGAUUAUCUACGAGCUUUUGAUCUAAAAUAUAAAAUUAUUCAAUCAUUAGCAUAUAUUUCAGUUUUAAUUCACUUCAAAAUUAAUACCCCUCAUUUUUUAAUUUACACAAUUACCCUAACUUUUAUAGUUUUUUACAAUUUAGUCCCUCACCAAUUAGUCUAUCAAAUGAGCUAACCUUUAUCAAUUGACAAUUUAUAUAAAUAUUCUAAGCUAUCAUAUAGCCUUUGAUCAACAAAAUUGUAAUAUCAAACCCUAAUACUUAAUCUUUUCACAAUUUGGUCCUAAAAUCAAUAUCUAUUGAAAUCACUAAAUAAAAUCAUCAUAUAACAAAAUUAAAGCUCUAAAUUCAUGUUAAUUCAUCACAAACGUUCAUUAUUCAUCAAUGGUAACUUUCAAAAUUACCCAUAAAAUAAAAAACUAAUGAAAUAGAUACUUGGACCUAAUUGUAAAAGUUUAGAAACACAAAAAUUUCAAGAAAAGAACAAGAAUUAAACUUACUUGAAACAAAAAUAAGAAAAACCAGCUUAAGACUCUCCUAUGGCAUUUUGAUUAGACAGUUGUUGAAGAAAUUGUCUAGAAUUCUCUUUUAAUUUCAAUUUGUUUAUUUAAUUUUACAAAAGUUCCCAUUUUGCCCUUAGGUCACACUUAAUUUGUUAUUUCUUGUACACAUAUGCCGCCUCAGCCACCUAUUAUAGGCUUAUUUACCUUUCAAGUCCUCUAUCAUUUAACAUGUAAUCCAUUUAAUCACUAUUUCUUUAAUUAACAUGUAAUCAAAACGUUAAAAUUUUCUAACGGAACUUUAAUACUACCUUAAUGACACUCUGUAAAUAUUUAUAAAAAUAUUUAUAGUUCUGUUUAUAAAAUCGAGGUCUCGAUACCUUGUUUUCUAAAUCACUUAACUUAAUAAUUUCUUAUAACACACUAAUUACUAUUUCAAAAGUUCUCCUAAAGUCACAUUUGGCACCUAAGUACUAAAUAAUAAAAUUCACGAGCGUACUCAUCAGAUUUGGUAGUCUCGAACCAUUAUUUUUGAUGCCACUGAAAAUCGGGCUAUUACAACUCUCUCCCCUUUAGGAAAUUUCAUCAUCAAAAUUUGUUACCUGAGAAUAGAUUCAGAUAGUGUGAUCUCAUCAAUUCUUCUGUUUCCCAAGUAGGAUCCUCCAAACCAUGACGAGGCCACAAUACUUUAACUAAGGUACUUGUUUAUUUCGUAAUUCUUUAACCUCUCGAGUCAAAAUUCUUAUCGGUUCUUCCAAAUACGUCAUAUCUGGUUGUAGCUCAAUUUCACUAUGAAGAAUCACGCGUGAAGGAUCAGAUCUAUACCGUCUCAGUAACGAUACGGGAAACACAUUAUGAAUCUUUUCAAGUUCAGGAGGCAAAGCUAAUCUAUAAGCUACCAGUUUGAUUCUUUUGAUAAUUUCAUACAGUCCGAUAAAUCUUGGGCUUAACUUUCCUUUCCUACUGAAUCGUAACACCUUCUUCCAUAGAGAGACUUUUAAGAACACUCGAUCACCAACCGCAAAUUCUCUAUCUCUUCUUUUCAAAUCUGCAUAUGAUUUCUGACGACCAAAAGUAGCUUUAAAACUGUCCCAGAUGAUUCAAACUUUAUCUUCAGUUUCUCGGAUCAAGUCAACCCCCACUAGCUUAGAUUUACUCAAUUUAGUCUAAUACAAUGGUGUCUUACAUUUCCUCCCGCAAAGACCUUCAAAUGGUGCCAUUUUUAUACUGGAUUGAUAAUUGUUGCUAUAUGGAAAUUUAUCCAAUGGUAAAUACCUAUCCUAACUACCACCAAACUUGAGCAUACAACAUCUCAACAUCUCAACAUAUCUUCUAGAAUCUGAAUUACUCGUUCUGAUUGCCUGUCAGUCUGAGGAUGGAACACUAUACUGAAAUUUAGCUUUGUACCCAGAGCCUCUUGCAGUUUACUCCAAAAUCUCGAAAUGAAUCUCGGAUCUCGAUCAGAAAUAAUGGAUAUCGAAACCCCAUUUAACUUAACAAUCUUUUCUAUAUACAAUUCCGCUAACUUCUCAAGUGAAAAGUCUGUUCUAACUGGUAUAAAAUGUGCUAACUUAGUCAAUCUGUCAACAAUCACCCAGAUCGAAUCUUUCUUUCUUAGAGUCACAAGUAAUCCGAAUACAAAAUCUAUCGUGACAUGCUCCCACUUCCACUUAGGAAUCAUGUCAGGUUGUAACAAACCUGUUGGUACUUGAUGUUCUACUUUGAUUUGCUGACAAAUCAAAUACAUCCGUUUCAAAUCAUAAUACGUCUUUGUACUACCCUGAUGAAUGGAGUACAUACUACCGUGAGCUUCAGAAAGAAUAUCAUUUUUCAAAUUCGAAUUAUUCGAAACACAAAUUCUAUUACGAUAACGUAGCAUACCACUAUCAUUAACGCUAAAUUCUGAACUCAGAUUGUUCUGAACCAUCUGUCGUUUCAACACCAAUUUCAAAACCUCGUCUUGCAAUUUCAGAAUCCGUUAAAGAAACAAGGUUUCAUUUUCAGCUCUCCUAAUACAGGACCAUCUUCAUUAAUAGUUAAAUGAGCGUUCAAUGCUCGAAGUGCGAACAAGGAGGACUUUCAACUGAGUGCAUCCGCAACCAUAUUAGCCUUUCCUGGGUGGUAGUCAAUAACCAGAUCAUAAUCUUUCAGUAAAUCUAGCCAUCGUUUCUAUCUUAAAUUCAGUUCUUUCUGAGUCAUCGAAUACUUCAAACUUGUAUGACUUGUAAACACGUAACAUUUAUCACCGUAUAAAAAAUGUCUCCAAAUCUUCAAAGCAAAUACGAUUGCAACCAAUUCAAGAUCAUGUGUAGGAUAAUUCUUAUCAUGCAAUUUUAACUGUCGAGAAGCAUAGACCACUACUUUUCUUGACUGCAUCAGUACACAACCUAAUCCAUUUAGAGACGCAUCACUAAAAAACAUACGGUACACCCGAUUCUGGUUAAGUCAAGACUGGAGCUUCUGUUAACAUUUUCUUCAACUGAUCAAAGCUCUGCUAACACUCAUCAGACCAAAUAAAUUCAACAUUUUUCUACAAUAAUCGAGUCAAUGGUGAAGCAAUCACUGAAAAGUUCUUGACAAAACGUCAGUAAUAACCUGCUAGACCCAGAAAAAUUUGCAUUCCAGAAACAUUCUUUGGAGUUUUCCAAUUCACCACUGCAGAUACUUUGCUCGGAUCCACUCGAAUCCCUUCAACUGAUACAAUAUGAACCAAAAAUCUGACCUCGUGAAGCCAGAAUUCAAAUUUGUUAAACUUUACAUACAAAUGCUUUUCUCUCAAAGUCUGUAGCACAACUCUCAAAUGUUGUGCAUGCUCGAAUUCUGUUUUGGAAUCUAUCAGUAUAUCAUCGAUAAACACAACCACAAAUCUAUCUAAAUAAGGUUAAAAAAAUCUGAUUCAUCAAAUCCAUGAAAGCAGUAAGGGCAUUAAUCAAGCCAAAUGGCAUUACCAAAAAUUGAUAAUGGCCGUAUCGAGUUAUGAAAGCAGUUUUUGGCACAUCACACUCUUUGACCUUCAACUGAUAAUACCCGAAUCUAAGGUCUAUCUUCGAAAACACCGCAGCACCUUUGAAUUGGUCAAAUAAGUUAUCAAUAUGAGGCAAAAGAUAUUUAUUUUUAAUUGUAACCUUGUUCAACUGUCUGUAAUCUAUACACAGUCUCAAAGUACCGUAUUUCUUUUUCACAAAUAAUACAGGUGCACCCUAGGGAGACAUGCUUGGUCUGAUAAACCCUCGGUCUAAUAACACUUGGAACUAAGCCUUUAAUUUGUUUAAUUCAGUUGGUGUCAUACGGUAUGGUGCUACUGAGAUCAAAGCUGUUUUUAGAACCACAUCAAUCACAAACUCAACUUCACGAUCAAGUGGUAAACUCAACAAUUCCUCAGGAAAUUCAUCAGCAAACUCACUAAGAAUUGGUAAUUGUUCUAGUUUUGAUUCUGAACCCCGAGUAUAAAAAAUGUAGGCUAAAAAUGCCUCAUUACCAUUUCGCAUUAAUCUCUGAGAAAAAAAACUGAAAUAACUUUAACAAUAUCUUUCGAAUUCUCAGACUCAACUGAUAUCAUCUCUCCUGUCUAACAUUUCAAAUCAAUCUAUUUCUUUCUAUAAUUUAUUAUAGCAUCAUGCUUCGUUAACCAAUCCAUUUUCAGAAUAUUAUCAAAUUCCCGAAAAGGUAGUAACAUCAAAUCCGCAGGGAAUUCACAGUCUUUCAUUUUCAGCGGACAAUCACAACACAAUAAAUUAACUAUUACACUUUGGCCUAAUGGAUUAGUGACUUGAAUAUCAUAAUCGGUAGGUUCAACAAACAAUUUCUUUUCUGAUACUAAUACAGUGCAAAUAUAAGAAUGUGCAGGCCCACGGCCAAUCAAUGCAUAUACAGUAACAUAGAAAAGAUAGAAUGUACCGGAAAUUACGUCUAGAGCCGUAGCUCAUUCUCUUGCUCGGAUGGCAUAAGUACGUGCAAGCGCCCUAGCCUCUGACCGGGUAGCAAAAUCCUUCAUACCCAAAUGAGCAGUUCCAGUAGCACUAUUUUGGCCCAAACGUCUACUUCGUUGAGAAGUGGCCAACUGCUUCUCUUUCUUCUCUUUAUUUUCUUUUUGCAAUUGAUGACAGUUUCGAAUGAAAUGAUCAAUUGCUCUGCAUUUAUAACAAGCCCCCACUUUACUUUUACAUUCACCGAGGGGUAUUUCCCACAAUACUUGCAUUUAGGCUUGGGAGAAUUUUGCACACUACCCAUACUUGCAGUGGGUCUAAUAGAUACCCUGUAAUCAGGUUGAGUCAUCUUAGUUUUAUUUGAUCUUUCACACAUUGAGGUGGCUCGACUGAAAUCAUCUCUAGUAUUUUUAGCCGGUAAUGCUGAAAAGGAUUUGAAUAAACUUCUUUUGUAAUAUUCUUUAUUCUGUCUAUCUCGUUGCAUUUUUCUAUUGUACACCUCUUCCAUCUUUUGUGCACAAUCUGACAGAACGACAAAUUCUCGUAUUUUAGUACCCCCAAUCAUCAUUUUGAUUUCAUCAUUCACCCCUUCAAACCGAAUGCACAUUUCUUCUUCGGUUGGUACAAUUUCCCGGGCAUAUUAGCUGAGGUAUACAAAUUCUCUUUCGUACUCAGCUACCGAUCUAUUUCCUUGACGCAAGUCAAGAAAUUCUCUCUUCUUUUUGUAUAGAUACCUUUUGCCAACACAUUUCUUUUUAAAUUCACUCUAAAAGAAUUUCCAAUUAUUUUCUCUUUCGGUACUCAACCACUAUAGUCGACCACCAGUUAUAUGCUUCUUCUUCCAGUAAGGAAACAAUACAUCUCAGAUAAUCAUCGGGAGAACAAGCUAUUUCUUCAAAAACUCUUACUGUAUUCUGAAGCCAAUAUUCAGCUUUGACUCGGUCAUCAUCUGACCUACCCCGAAAUUCUUCGGCCCCACACUUUUUGAGUUUUUCUAUCAGAGUACAUUUACUGGAUUCAGUUAUUGGAGGAGGGAAAGGUGCAACUGGCGGCACUACAGGUGGCACAGUAGGGGGAGAAGGUUGUUGAGUCAGAUAUCUCUCUUGCAUGAAUUCACUAAACCAUUGAUUCACCACCCAAAUAACAUAUUUUUAAGUUCUUGUUCUUGAGCCAAACGAAUUGGGACGUUACUACUUGUCCCAUGUUCAGAUGUCUGUACCUUACUAUUGGCCUCAUCAUGAUUAGCAUGUUCAUAUUUAUCUGACAUCUUUAUAAUCUAUAAGAAAAAAAGAGUUAGAUCGGAUUAUACACAUCACACUAUCACAGAUUUAUAUGGCAUGUAUUUCUAAACAUUUUACACACUACGUUCAUUCCACGAGUUGGCUAAAUCGAAGCUCUAAUACCACUAAAAAGUAACACCCCUAACCCUUAACUGUCGCCAAAACAGGGCUAUAGAGCAUUACCGAACUUUUCUAACCAAUUACAAACAUUUCAUAUCAUUUAAUACACAUAUCAGAAACCAAUCACAAUUUACUCACAUUGUCCCUUAUAUGAGCCCUCGAGGCCCAAAAUAUGUAUUAGAAACAAGUCGAGACUAAACCGGAAACUCAGAGAAUUUUUCUCAACAUUUCAAAAUUUUGUCUAGGUGUAGGGGACACACGCCCAAUAGACAUGCCCGUGUCCAUACCCGUGUCUAUCUCAUUGGUUUAUCAAAAUCUACUUCUAUUUAUAUAUAUACAAGCAUAUAACAUUCAUAACCAUAUUUUUAAGUACUUCAUUUCCACACCAACCCUAUACAUUCCAUAUAAACCAAAAUAUACGUUGCAAAAGCUACCGGAUAAGCUGGAUAGUGUGACUUGAUGUGCUGAUCCAAUCUCUCGACCUCAUGUUAAUCUACAAGAACAUUAAUCAACACAAGUAAGCUUAAUGAAGCUUAGUAAGUUCAAUAGGUUAAACAUAAAUCUUACCGUACAUAUUAUAACAAAUUAUUUAAGUAAAUCAUUCAAUAUACAUUUCCUGCCAAUCACAACUUUAAUUGAUGAAUUCACUUAUCUUAGAUCAAUACCAAUCAUAACAUUAAGUCUUAAAAAAUUAAUUUCAUACGUCACUUACCAAUCCUUGCUAAAUCGGAGAAAGACUUACAGAUAUGAGUACAUCAUAUUCAGAAGCUCAAAGGCUGCACAGAAGCACAUAAGUGCUAAACAGAAACCCGUAAGGGUUAAACGGAAGCUCAUAGCAACUGAAUGGAAACCUAUAAGGGUUAAACUGAAGCUCAAAAGAGUUGAACAGAAACCCAUAAGGGUUAAAAAGAAACUCAUAUGAGUUAACAGAAGCUCAUGCGAGCGAAAUGGAAAGUAAACAUGAAUGUUCGCAACACAUACUGAACCUUGGUGUACUUAGGUAAUUUUCCAUCAAUUCAUCAUUUGCAUUUACCAUCAAUUCAUCCUUUGCCACAGAACGAUUGUACUUAAUCUUACGUUCCACUCGUUUUGAACAAUCAAUUCAAUUUCAUAAUUUAAAAAUAAUUUUAUUUUGAAAAAUAAAUAUGAAUAAUUACAUAAUACCAUUCAUCAAUUUAAUAAAUAAAUAUUAAAGUUUAACCAUACGAACUUACCUAGAUUUAAUUGUAAGAUUUGUAGUAGUUCAAAGACUAUUAUGCUAAUUUCCUCUUUUCACGAUUAUCUACGAGCUUUUGAUCUAAAAUAUAAAAUUAUUCAUUCAUUAGCAUAUAUUUCAGUUUUAAUUCACUUCAAAAUUAAUACCCCUCAAUUUUUUCAUUUACACAAUUACCCCAAAUUUUAUAGUUUUUUACAAUUUAGUCCCUCACCAAUUAGUCUAUCAAAUGAGCUAGCCUUUAUCAAUUGACAAUUUAUCUAAAUAUUCUAAGCUAUCAUAUAGCCUUUGAUCAAAAAAAUUGUAAUAUCAAACCCUAGUACUUAAUCUUUUCACAAUUUGGUCCUAAAAUCAACAUCUAUUGAAAUCACUAAAUAAAAUCAUCAUAUAACAAAAUUAAAGCUCUAAAUUCAUGUUAAUUAAUCACAAACGUUCAUUAUUCAUCAAUGGUAACUUUCAAAAUUACCCAUAAAAUCAAAAACUAAUGAAAUAGAUACUUGGACCUAAUUGUAAAAGUCUUAGAAACACAAAAAUUUCAAGAAAAGAACAAGAAUUAAACUUACUUGAAACAAAAAUAAGAAAAACCAGCUUAAGGCUCUCCUAUGGCAUUUUGAUUAGACAAUUGUUGAAGAAAUUGUCUAGGAUUCUCUUUUAAUUUCAAUUUGUUUAUUGAAUUUUACAAAAGUUCCCAUUUUGCCCUUAGUUCACACUUAAUUUGUUAUUUCUUAUACACAUAUGCCGCCUCAGCCACCUAUUAUAGGCUUAUUUACCCUUCAAGUCCUCUCUCAUUUAACAUGUAAUCCAUUUAAUCACUAUUUCUUUAAUUAACAAGUUUUGGACCUUUUUCAUUUUUGUCCUUUUUAUUUAAUUAACUGUCAAAACGUUAAAAUUUUCUAACGGAACUUUAAUACUACCUUAAUGGCACUCUGUAAAUAUUUAUAAAAAUAUUUACGGUUCUGUUUAUAAUAUCGAGGUCUCGAUACCUCGUUUUCUAAAUCACUUAACUUAAUAAUUUCUUAUAACACACUAAUUACUAUUUCAAAAAUUCUCCUAAAAUCACAUUUGGCUCGUAAGUACUAAAUAAUAAAAUUCAUGAGCUUACUCAUCAGGUUUGGUAGUCUCGAACCACUAUUUCUGAUGCCACUAAAAAUCGGGCUGUUACAGUAAACCUAAGUUUUGGUUGGGAGAAGUAAGACUGGAUCGAAGUCGAGGAAUUCAGACAAGACAUGUGGCUACUGCACGAGGUUAGUUCACAUUAAGGAAGAGUGUUAUAAGAUGCAAAAUAAGAACAUGAGGGUUUUUUAGAGCAACGAGAAAGGAAAGCAAAAGGUUGAGGUAGCCGAUGCUAGUGUGGCCGAGGACAAGUGUGGCCGAGGACAAGUGUGAUGAAUGGUUGUUGGUGUCUACGACUGAAAAGUCUAAGCUUAUUUCUGAGUGAAUCCUGAAUUUUGGGGUGUUCUUACCAUAUGUGUCCCAACAAGGACUGGUUCUCCACAAAUAUUCCAGUUGAAGAUGUAGUUGUGCACAUGGGGAAUAAUUAGGACACUGUCAGGUGUCAGACAUGUGUUUGAUUUACAGAAAAACCUGAUCUCCCUACAUAUGUUAGACUCGAAACGAUUUUAGAAUGGUCAUCAAAUCAAGCAGCAUUAAGGUAUUUCGUGGAGCUCUUGUUUUGAUGAAAGCUUAGAAAACCGACAGUUUAUACAUUCUUGAGGGUUCAACAGUGACUGACACAACAACAAUUUCCUCGUCUGUUACAGAGUUGGAGUCAACUCGGUUGUGGCAUAUACAACUUGGUUAUAUGAGCGAGAAAGGUAUGAACAUAGUGAAUAAGAGUCAUAUAGUUUUCAAGUUCAAGCACUGCUUGGAUUUGUAGUAUCCUGGAAAAAUCAAAUUAGGCCAAUAACGGGGUCUGACAAAGAAGGCAUAUCAAAAUACGAGUCAAGGUGGAGAUUUUUAGGGUGUGUCUCACAUUUUUUGGUUAAACUAGAGUCAAACUAGGGGUAAUAUCAUGACAAGGAAUCACACGACGUCACAAGUACUUGAUGAUGUCCGAAACAAGACAAAUUAAAGGUGAUGUCACUGCGAGGAGCCUAGGACGUCGCAACGACAUGACAAAUUCUAUUUCAAAGUAGCUGCCUAAUUAGACUUUUAGUAGUGUUACUUUUCUGAAUUAAACUUUGAUUAGGGGUGAGCAUUCAAUCGAUUUGAGUCAAAAAAUUUUUGAGUUAGUCGAGUUGACGAAUCAUAUUUUAGCAAUCGAACUUAAUUUAAAUUUUUUUUUAAAUCGAGCAAAAAAAUUUCGAGUCGAGUUAAUGAAUCCUAUUUUUUAUACUCAAUGUUGCGUUUACAAGGACUUGUUAUUUAACUAGUAGAUAAAGUACAAGAUUAUUUAACUACAUAAACAAUAUAAUUUACUUAAUAAUUACAUGUAAAGAACUAUUUUAGGCAUGCAAAGUAAGUAACUAUAGAUAAUGUUGCAAGACGAUCCUUGCGGCCAUACUUUGAGUCAACUAUAUAAGCUAUAACACCACAUGCAUAAUUAUAUUUAUAUAGCGCAUAGUUAUGCGUUAAGAACUCCUCUGUAUACAAGAUAACAAAAUGAUAUACCAAAAGUAUGAUAUAAGGGCACAUGCCACUACUAUACAAAAUAUGAUAUAACAAAAUGAUACAUCAAAAGUAUGAUAUAGAUGGUGUGACGCUCCAAGACUCGAGUUCAACAAAAUAGGUCCAAGCUUCCUACACAAAAAAAAUCAAGAGUCUAACCAAUUAUUUUGACCAAACCAAAGCAAAUGUAAUGUUGAAGUUUCCAUAAACGUUAACAAAAAAUCUAUUCCAAAAAGUUAAAAUCAAACUAUCUUCAAGCUUUAUCUUCUUCAAACAUUGUAGAUAGUACUGACAAUUCUGUAACAAAAGUAAAAAUGUAUUCUUAAAUUAUGAAAAUCUUUACUAGAAAAAUUAAAAUAAACAUUCAAUUUUGUGAUUUGUAGCUAAGUAUGUUACCAUCUUCAUGUUUUGAUAACUUUGACAAUUCUAAUAAAUAUCAAAAGUGAAAAAUAUUAGUUAAAUUGCGAGAAUGUUCCUCCAUAUAUCAUCAUCUAUAUUUUGAAGUUCCUCCAUAUACUCCUCAAGUUGAUAGAAUCUUUUGAUCUUCGAAGCCAAUCUUGUGUGCAAACCAAAGCCUAAACCAUAGAAAGACUCAAAGAACUUCUAAAAUCACCUAGAACAUGUCCACUCUUGAAGCACUUUUAGAUGUAACAAUUGAGAUAGAAAUGAAUAACACAUCUCGAGCCAUUUGCGCAAUAAUUGGGAAUCUUGGACUAUUAACUUUCUACCACAAUAACAGAUCAAGUGAAUCUGAAUUAUUUUCAUCAUCUUCUCCCAAAUAUCUAUCCAACUCAGAUUUACUUUCCAAGCCAACAUGUUACUUUUUCUUCAUAUAUUGUUGCACGACUAAGCUUGUCUUCGGUUUUACUUGAUCUAUUUCAUAUUCACUUGAACUUGGGGCUUUAGUGGGAUAAUUAGAUUCAACUUUAAAGUUCAUGUGACAGUUUCCCUAAAAAAUUUAUAGAAUAUUCAGUAAACAAACCAUGCAAUUCUCUAUUGACCAUCAUUAUAAUGUCAUCUACAAUAAUAAGAAAAAGCAAGUUAACUCUAAAUGCAUGAAAAUUCAUUUUGCGUCGUGGGUCAAAGAUAACUUCUAGAUAAAUAAGCAAGUUCAUUAAUUUUGAAUCACCUCAGUACUUUUUGUACUUGUCAUUCAUUUUUAAAACCAUAGAUGUAACAACCCAUUUUCAAUGGUGUCGAAAAUAGUGGUUUCGAGACCACAAUUCCAACUAAUGGUUUAGGUAAGUUCGUAUAUUGAUUAAGCUUAUUAAUUUUUUUGGUGAAAUUUUGAUUAAUAUUUGUGUUAUGUAUAACUUAAAAUGAUUGUUAAGUGAUAAUUAGUGAUUUGGAUUAAAUUAUAAUGUUAGCUAAAUUGAAGGCUAUGAUUGAAAAUAGGAAAUUACAUGGAUAAGUACUUGUGAUGAAAUAAUGUGUAGACAAUUAUAUUAUUUGGAUAUGAAACGAUCCGUUUGAACCUUGUGAGUGCUUAGGAUACAAAUGACAUGUUAUUAGGGUUAUUACUGUUUUAGGUGCUAAUCUUAGGUGUCCUACAGAUGGUUGAGGUCCUGCAUUUGUUGUAGAUUCUCCACAACUCGUGUGAGCAGCAUCAUGUAGCUUAACAUCUUGACCCAUAGCUCGUGUGAGCAGGCCCAUUUCAUAGCUCAUGUGAGCAGGCCCAUUUCAUAGCUUGUGUGAGCAUUUACAGUUACAACUCGUGUGAGCAAUUAUCGUUAUAGCUCGUGUGAGCAUUUUCCCUCGUAUCCAAUGUUAUUUCACUGUGGUUCAUCGAGUAUAAAAUGAAAUAUGAAUGAGUUAUGUGAAAUGUUUAUAUGGAAAUAGAUUUAUGAAAUGGAUUCUUGAAUUGAAAAUGUAAGAUGUUGAAAGAAAAUAAGCUAAUUGAGUUAUAUAUACUAUUUAUGAAUGUUAUAUGGUAUGAUAUAGUAUAAGCUUCAUAUUUGUGAAUUCACUAAACUUGUGAGGUUUGUGGUGUGCAUAGGAAACAAAUGAGUUUAUGAGUUGUUUAAUGAAUUUUAUGUAUGAAAUGUUUAGUUGAAUCCUUUUCGGUAAGUUUGAGUUUACGUUAUAUACAAGCUUACUAAGCAUUGAUUGCUUAUUUCCAUUGUAUUUCAUUCUCUAUAGGUCAACGGAAGUCAAGGUAAGUUUGAAAUUCAAGUCAGAGCUCACACUAUCUGUUCUUUGACUUGGUAAAAGUUUAAUCAUUUUGGUUUGGUUAUAAAUGGCAUGUACUGGGAGCCUUUAAGUUCUUUUGCUUGUGAUGAAGUCGUUUAUAACUUUCGCUUAAGUAAGAUUUGUGGUUGUGUAUAUAUAUUUGGUAUUUUGGCUCAUGUAUAUCUAUAUAAGUGCUUUUGAUCAUUUGAUUUAUACAUCAUGAAAGCGGUUUGAGGUAUGGAAAAAUGGAUGUGAAUGAAAUGGAUGAAUUGGUAUGUUUGACAUGUUCAUAAGGUAGGAACUUGUGAUUAUUGAAUGUGAAUUUGGAUUGGUGUUUGUUUUGUGGUGCCAACGAGGGCAUAUUAGUUAGGCACUUAGGUUGAAUGUUUUGGUAUGUUUUAGGCAUAUUUGAAUGUGUGAAAAUGGUUGGAAAAGGUUUGGCUUGGUACCUAAGAAAUGGUUGAUGAUUUGGCUUGUCUUAGAAGUUAUUUUAGGUGCACACGGCCUGAGACACGGGCUGUCACACAGUCGGGUGCCACAUACAGUCACUCCUCACAGCCUUGUGACCUAUUUGAUUUUGGUGCAGGAUUUUCCACAUGGCAUCAGGUUGUCACACGGUUUUUCCACACGACCAUGUCUUUGAGUCACAAAUUUUGGGCUUUAUCACAUGACCGUGUGGCCUUUAUUUUUAGUUUUUUUUCCACAUUUUUCUAUUUUGUUUGAAAUUAGACCCUAAUUUUUUCAAACUGAUUUUAAGGCUAUGUAAGCUCGAUUUAAAGCUCGUAUUUGUAUAUAUGCUAUGGAUAAAAAUUGGUUAUGAAUAUUUGAUAUUUAAAUUAAAUUUUGAAUUAUUUUAGUUUAUUUUUUAAUUUAUUAACUAUCGUAAUGCUUUGUAACCCUAAUCCCCACAAUGACUCCACCCAUCGAAAAGACAAUGCACAUCUGUGACUACUUCAAAAAAAGAAUUAGAGGCGACAUGACAUGAUCCAGACACCUUCAAUGUAAGUUUGUGAAAAGGCUCAAUGUAAGUAACUCUUCAAAAAUUUUCCCAAUUAUCACAUGUGGGGACUCCAUCUCUAGCACCAAGGUUUAGAAAAAAAAAGUUAUGAUCAUCAUUAACAUAAGCUUCAAAAAAAAAAUCCAUAUUUUCAACUACAUUUAAUAUCAUAUAAGUUGAAUUCCAUCUAGUAGGCACAUUUAGACGUAAACGAGCCUAAGCACCUACUAUUUCUUCUUUUGCUUGACGGUUGAAUUUAGGCAACCUUAAUGGUGAUGCUCUAAUAUAUCUCAUAGCUCCUAUAACUUGACCCACAGAAAUAGAAGCAUCCUUAACCUUUUUUUGAACAAUAAGAUUAAGAAUGUGUGUCGCACAUCUCAUAUGUAUAUAUUUACCAUUCGCAACACAAGCUUUUCGAUGGACCAACUUCUUUCUCAAAUAAUCAAUAGAAGCAUUGUUAAAAGAUGCAUUAUCAACAGUAAUAUGAAAGACCUUCUCAAUCCCCUAAUCUCGAAUACAUUUCUCAAGGGAUUGACCAAUGCUCUUACCUUUAUGAGCAAAAAUUGGGCAAAAGUUUAUAAUUCUAUUUUGUAAUCUCCACUUAUCAUCUAUCCAGUGAGCUGUUCGAACCAUGUAGGAUAUACUUUGCAAUGAACCAUGAAUUAUUUAUGGAAUUAAACAAAGCAAGAUAGCUCUUUCUAAUUGUCCAAUUAGAUGAAAGAUGAAACCUUGGGCAUACCAUAGAAAUAAAAAAAUUAAAACCCUCCCCUUUUACAAUUUUAAAAAGGAAAUUCAUCCACAAUAAUCAAAUGAAUCAAUGCAUUUCUAAUAUCAUCUUGAUUAGACACCCAAGUUGACAAUAUACAUUUUAUUGGCUAGAUUUUGCAAAUGCAAGUUCUCCUUGCUUAAGAUCAGAGGUAUUACCUCAGGGUUUUCUUGAACAAGUCUUCAAAUGGUUAUUUAGAUUGGUGGUAGAAGCCUCGGUUUCCAUUAUGUAAGUGGCAUCGCAAUAAUUGCACUUUGCCCUAUUCUCCCCAUCUUUUGUUAAGUAUUUGCUGAAAUGUUGUCAACAAGGUACUUUUAGUUUGGUCUUUCUUUAAGUAGUUCCCGUCUUUUUUGUGCGAAUAACUUUAGUAGGAGAAGUAGGAGCAACUUCUUGUAAUGGUUUUUACUUUAAGUAUUUUACGAUAACAUUGAGUCAUUCAUCUACAAUAAUAAAUAUAAACAAUUAAAAUUGAAAAUAUAAAAUACAUAUUUUAUAUUAAUUGCAUAAGAAUAUAAUUUGUUCCGUAAGAAUUUCAUUCCGAAAAUCUAUAAGUCUGCAUCCACUAUAACCAUGUAACAAUCUAUUUCCAGUGAUGUUAGAAAUAGUGGUUUCAAGACCACAAUUUCGAUGAGUGAGUUAUUAUUUUAUUAUUUAUUUAGUGUCUACGGGAUUUUAUUAAGGUCGUAUUAAAUUUUCGUUAAGAAAUUUUGACGUUUGAAUUGUUAAUUAAGUAAAAAAAAACUAAAUCGUAAAAGGUGAAAAAGUUGGGUUCUAUUAGCUAAAGGGGUUAAAUGACUUUGGAAAUGAAAUGUAAUGGACUUGAAUGGUAAUUAUACCAUAUAUAUUGAUAGUGGAUGUACAUGGAUAGGUUUUAAUGUAAUUAUGGUAGUUUUUAAAGGUUAAAAUGAUAAUUAUACAAAUUAAACUUAAACUAAAUGAAAACAAAAAUUGCUUCAUCUUUCUCAUUUAACUUCACCACUGAAAUUUGAAGAAGGAAAUACCAUUUUUAAGGUUUGGAGCAUUCGGUUAAGCUUGUUGCUUGCAUGGUAUGUGAUUUCAGCCCUGUUUUUAAUGUUUUUUUUAUGUUUUUGAGUCUAUUUUAACUUAAUCUAGCUAGCCCGAGGGUCAAUUUGCAAAAUUGUUAAAGGUUGAGGGUUAUGUCAUGAAUUAUUUUGAAUGAUUUUUAUGUUAAUUGAUAGAUUAUGAAUCCUUGUUGAAAAAUAAACAAGUUUUGUUAAGUGAUUUUUGAUAAAUUUUGAAAUUUGGGAUUAAAUUGUUAAAUGUGUAAAUCAAUAGGUUUUAUUGUGAAAUGAUGGAAAAUAUGGAUUGUAUCAAGGUCUCUUUCAUCUAUGGUUAACAUGGAUUUAGGUUAAAAUGGUUAGAUUUUAAGUUAUAAGCUUAAAGACUAAAUUGUGAAAAGUCAAAAUGUUAGGGGAAAAUUGGUAAUUUUACAUAAAUAUGAAAUAUGGAUUAAAUUGAAUACUAGAAGUAUUUAAUUGAUUGAAAUUAUCUAUUUUGAUCAAAAUAAGCCACGUUCGGACUUAAAUCAAGGAAAAGCUAAAGCUUCGAACUAGUUUGAUUAAACUACUACGCUCUAAUUGUCGAGGUAAGUUCGUAAGAAUAGUAAUCGCUUAAAUUUGUUUUAAAUCGAAUUAUUAUUAUGUUAUUUUGAUGUUAUAUGGAAAUUUACAUAUCUUAUGGUUGAUUUAAAUUAUGUUAUGGAUAGAUAUACUAACUUGUGAGUUGGUGAUGUUGACUAUGAUUUGCUAAGCUUAUGGCAUUAGAGUUGAAUCAUGUUUAAUCUAUGUACUGUAUUAUUGAAAUGUUAAGUUAUGUUUAAGGUUUAUACGAGCUUACUAAGCACUCGUUGCUUACGUAGUUUCUUUUAUUUGUUUUAUAGAUCAUUAGAAGCUUAAUUUUAUUAGAAGCUCGUCAGAGAUCUAUCACAUUAUCCAACAGUUAAUUCUGUGGUUUUUGAGCAUUUUGGUCAAGGUUUGUAAUGGCAUGUAUAGGGUGUUUUGUAAUGGUAUUUUGAUGAAUGUGUUAAUGUUGUUUUGGCAUGUAUAAGUUUCAAAGUUAUGUUGGUUUGGUAUCAUUUGAUGCCUUGUCAAAUUAUGUCAUUUUGGUUACUUUAUUGUGCAUGUUAGAAGGCUCUUUAUGGUAUGUUUUGUAUGGUUUGGAAAUGAUUAUAAGUGGUAUGUUUUGGUAACUAGUUGGAAUAGGUUAUCAUGUGUGAAAUGGUACAAUAUUGACAUAUUUUGAUAGUUUGUGUUUUAGUAUAAUUUGGCGCCUUUGAAUGGAAUAUUGGUUAGUUGAAAUAGGAUCUUGAAAUGACAUUUUGAUGUGUGUUUUGGUGAUGUUUAGUCCCUUUUAAAGUGUUCAUGAAUGGGUUGCAAAGUUAUGCAUGGAAUGGUUUUGAAGUGGCUUGAUUUUAGGAAAUUUUAGGUUCACACGGCCUGAGAUACGGGUGUGUGACUCAGCCGUGUGAGUUACAUGGCCUGGCGACACGGUCGUGUGUCAUCUGGGGAUUUCUUAAGGUUCAAAUCAGUAAGUUACACGGCCUGAUAGACAGGCGUGUGGGACAAAUUAAAGAGUUACACGACCGUGUGACCCUACUUAGAGAGUUACACGGGAUGGGACACAGUUAUGUGUCCCUGGGUUAAAAGUUACACGGCCUAGGGCUAUGUCACACGGCCAUGUGACCCCUAUUUUGAAAUUUUUUAUAUAUUUUCCUUAAACUUUCAAAAUUGUUUCAAAUUAGCCCUGAAUUUCUUUUAAACUAUUUCUAGGGCCUCAAAGGCUUGAUUUAGGGGCAAACUACAUGUGAUUGGUUAGAUUAUGAUAUGUUUAAUUUAUUUGAAUAUUAUAAGGUUAAAAUUUUUUGAUUGUACAAUAAUGCUCCGUAACCUUAAUUCGACGACAAAAACGUGUUAGGGGUGUUACAAACCCCCCGCCCGAUGAAGCCUUAGUGUUCGGAUGCUAAUUAAGGAAAUACGACAGAUAAGAUAUGUUCUGAUCGUGUAUGGUAUUAGGAGUUUACGUAGAAUUAAAAUUUCUUGAGCACACUUGCGAUGCCUCAACGUUGUAGAACAUAAGGACUGGCACAUAGAUAAAAACAAAAUGUUUGAUGAAGUAGUAUUCGCCUAAAAGCCCUAUUGGCGUACAGAACGAGCGAACUAGAUGUAAACCAGAUUAGUUAUAAAGAAAAAGAAAAUACUCAAUUAAGUUUCUCGGGAGUUGAAGACCUUAAUAAGAUAAUUCAGUAAAAUGGUGACAUUUGUUAGGUUUCAAUAAGAUUUUAGGUAAUAUAAAAAAGAUAUGCUAGAUAGGAUGAGGAAAGCCUUUCUUCACUCUUCUAACAUUACUAUUUGGAGGGGCAGGAAAGGGGAUUUCUUCAUGUUAGGACUGAGAUCCUGGACGUCACCAAUGAUUUCUCCAUGACAAGGUAAGGUUUAUAAACCUCCCUGUUAAGAAAACAUAGAUCUGUAAAAGCACUUGGUGGAGAUAAGACCCAUACGGGUUUAUAAGUUGCAGAAAGGUUAGGGUUUAAUAGAUGAUUCUUAAUGACAUUAUUUCGUUCCAUUAAUGGUGGUUGCUGUGGUACCAAGUCGAUUGAUCGAACUAGAGUUUAAGCUGCUACUCGUAACCACCAGGUGAGCCUCUAGACUAACUCUUACAUAUAUGUUUGUAUUCUAGAUACUUCUGUGUCAUGUGGCCAGACAGUGAAACUUAAACUAACAAAGCAUGAUACUAUGCAUCUGAUAAGAAAAGAAGUAUAUGCAUGUAUAAUAUGUUUGAAAGCAUGAUUGAGUCUGUCAUGACCAAGUCACUGCAUGAAAGGUCUAUGCAUAAAGUUUAAGGGGUUGUGUUACAUGUUUGGAAGCAUGAAUGCAUCUGUCAUGAAGAAGUCUGAAAGUAAUAAGUCCGUCAAGUAUGAGUUUGCAUGAUGAGCAUGUGUCUGUCUUAUGAGUCGUCUAAAGGAGUCUGUCGGGACUGAAAACACAAAACUUAGGCCAAAGGGGUCCAUUGAUACUAAAAACAUGAAUAUUUGAUAAAGACAAUUCCAUGACCAUGACACACUAAAGAUUAUAUAGUGCAAGACCAUGGUUGGGCUAUGACACCAUAUGGAAUAUGUAAAUGACAAUUAGGUGAGUACCAGCGAUGAGGGGCAAACCUCAUAAUGGUGAGUAUAGGUGAAUCCUUAUCAUUAAAAACACCAAUUUCCAUAAAAGUGAGCCUUUGUGACUAUCUAUGUUAAAAUGAAUGCCUUUGUGGCAAUAUUUUGAAGGGAAAGCCUUUAUGGUGAGUACUAAAUGUUAAAGGAAUGUCUUUGUGGCAAUUUCUGUAAAUGGACGCCUUUGUGGCUAUCUCUGUUAAAAGGACACCUUUAUGACUAUCUUAGUUAAAGAAAUACUUUUAUGGGUAUCUCUGUUUAAUAGAAGCCUUUGUGGAAAUCUCUGUCAAAGGACGCCUUUAUGACAAGACUUUGAAAGGGAAGGAAUGCCUUUGUGGCAUAAUCUGAAGAACGGUUCUCGUGGUGACCAUUUGAAGAUAACAACUAUGAGCGGACUUAAAUGAAUGGAGAACACGGUAUUCAGAGCAUUAGCGAGUGCAAAUUAGCUCUGAAAGUAAUGCCAGUAUGGAAGGUUAUUGCGAAGUAUAUACAAUCGGUGGGGUCAAAGUUAUAAACGAGAAACAAAUGAUGAAAUCCUUGAAUAAGGGCUUAGGUAAAAGAAGGUUUCCUUACUAAGUUUUGUCGAACUUACCCCUCUGUGUUUUAUAUCUUAGGUAAAUGAGGCGCUAGGAGGGACGACGCUAGGGCUACACCAAAGGAGUAGCGAAAUGGGCACUUAUGCAUACAGAGUGAAGGUUACAUGGGUGUGUUCACGUAUGAUAGAAACGUUGGGAAAAAGUCUAGAAAAAAUUAUUUGUAGGCCAUAGAGAUCAUGUAGGUCAAUAAGUGAAGUCAACAAUAUUAUUAUUUAGAGGUUGAAUAAGAGAGACAGUAUGAAGAUAUCUACAAAAAAUACAAAGCUCUCUAGUUAAAAAAUACAAAGAUUCGAUAUCGAGAAGUUCGAUGGGAUCAAAAAUUCCAUUUUAUGGCAAGUUCGAAUAAUUGCAAUACUGGUUUAGAAUGGCCUGAAGAAGGUCGUUACAGGGCAAAAGCCUGCAGAUUCAGAUCAGUCGAAAUGUGAUGAGCUUGAUGUGAAGGCUCUGUCUGUAAUUCAGUUGUGCUUCACGAACAAUGUUUUGCAAGAGGUGUUUAUGUAGAAAACAACAUCUGGCUCAUGGAUAAAGUUAGAAAUCCUUUACAUGACAAAGUCUCUAGCUAAUCGAUUGGUGUUGAAACAACGUCUAUGCACAUUUUGUAUGGCCAAAUGUGCGUACCUUAGGGCUUACAUCAAUGAAUUAGUUACUCUCUUGAAUGAUCUAAAGAAUGUCGAGGUUAAUAUAGAUGAUAAAGAUCAGGAUAUGAUAUUAUUGUGCUCUUUGCCUUCUUCAUAUAAGUCUUUCAGGGAGACCUAGAUUUAUGGUAGACAAUUUAUCUCUACAAUGAGUUAGGUUCAAGUAGCAAGUCAAAUAGGCAAACCAAAGUUUUGGUUGUGAGAAACAGGACUAGAUCGAAAUCGAAGAAUCGAUUCAAUACAUGUGGCUACUGUAAGAAGUUAGGUCACAUUAAGGCAAAGUGUUAUAAGCUGCAAAAUAAGAAUAGGAGGGCUGCUGAGAGCAAUGAUAAAGAAAAAAAAGGCUAAGGUAGUCUAUGCUAGUGUGGUCGAGGACAAGGGUGAUGAUUGGUUGUCAGUGUCUAUGACCAACAUGUCUAAGCUUACUUUUGAGUGGAUCUUGGAUUAAGGGUGUUCUUACCAUGCGUCCCAACAAGGACUGGUUCUCCACAUAUAGUCCAGUUAAAGGUGGAGCUGUGCAGAUGAGGAAUAAUUCACCUUAUAAGAUAAUCAGUAUUGGUACCGUUCAAAUCAAGAUGUAUGAUGAGAUUAUCAAGACACUGUCAGGUGUCAAACAUGUGUCUGAUUUAUAAAAAAACCUCAUCUUCCUAGGUAUGUUAGACUCGAACGAUUGUAGAAUGGUCAUCAAAUCAAGCGGCAUUAAGGCAUCUCGUGAAACUCUCGUUUUGAUGAAAGAUCAGAAAACUGACAGUGUAUACAUUCUACAGGGUUCAACAGUGACUGGCACAAUAGCAAUUUCCUCGUUUACUAUAGAGUUAGAGUCAACUUGGUUAUGGCAUAUGCUACUUGGUCAUAUGAGUGAGAAAGGUAUGACCAUUUUGAAUAAGAGUCGUACAGUUUCUAAGUUUAAGCACCGCUUGGAUUUGUAGUAUCUUGCAAAAAUCAAAUUAGGCCUAUGAUGGGGCCCUACAAAGAAGGCAUAUCAAAAUACGAGUUAAGAUAGAGAUUUGUGGAGUGUGUGUCACAUUUUUUUUGUCAAACCAGAGUUAAAAGCAGGGGCGAUGUCACGACGAGAAAUCUUGUGAUGUCACAACGAUGCGACAACGUCUAAAAUAAAGCAAAACAAAGGCGAUGUCGUGACGAAUUCUAUCUCAAAGAAAAUGCGUAAUUAGACUUUCACCAGGGUUACUUUUCCCAGGUAACUCUGAUUAUUCCAGAGAUAUUUCAAUCAAAUUAGAACUCUAAUCUUAUCCUAUAAAAAGGACCUUAGUAACCCUAGAAUAAAUAUAUUCAUAACAUCAAGAUUAAGAGAGAGCUUUGAAGGGAUUUUUUGUUUUAGCCAGAGAGUUUUCUAUUUUGGGUUAGUUUUUUUUAUUAUAUUCAUCUUGUACUCUUCGAUUAUUUUCUCAUUUAGUGAAUUUUCAUUUGCCUACCAUUUUUUAUCCUCUUUAUUUGGAGGAUUUUUUUCCAUGUAAAUAUUUAGUUGUUUGAUAUUCUCUACUUUUCUUACUCGUCGUUUAUUCAGGUUUAUCCCUAACACUAUACUAUAUAAUGACAAGUCAUAACCAAAUAUAAGCUCUCUUAAUGACAGUAGUGUUGUCAAAAUUUUCAAGUUUGUGAUCCAACAAAAUUUUAAUUAUUAUUUUAAUUAGACUUUAAACAUAUAAUUUUAUAAAAAAAUUAACCAUUCAUUUAUUCUCUUCUUUUACUUCUUGAAUUUGUAUUGUUUAUCUAAUCACUUUAAAAUGAAUGAAAAAGUUAAUGUUUGUUAACUUUGUUGACUUGACAUCCACUUAUGUUGUAGUCCACAUAUAUGCAUCUAUUAGGAAUUAAUUAUUUUUUAAAAUUUUAAAAAAAUUAAAAAGUAUUUUAUAAUUUUUAAAAUUUUAAAAAACUAAUUAAUUAAUGACAUUACUACAAUCAUGUGUAUGCCAUGCCAGCAAAGUUAACUUUUCUAUUCAUUUGAGAUGAUUUGAAAAAUAAGAUUAAAGGCUAAAAGAGACAAAGAUUAAAUGGAAGGUUAAAAUAUUUUUUUUAUAAAGUUAAAGGGCUACAGAAGUAAUUAUACCUUUUAAUUAUAAUUGGACAUCAUCCACGUUACCAAUUCUCCACGACGGAGUGAAAUGAUAAAAAAACUUCCAUAAACAAUACACGAUCUAAAUUGAUUUAACAUUACAGUACCAUGAUUAAAGAAACACAGUACUCAUAUAGAAUCAUCAUCACCUGCCAUUUCACACAUUAUUAAUAAGGAUUAUAAUAUAGACAUAUCAUACUGCGCUUUAAAUAGCUUUGAUUCAACGCCCUGGAUCUCUCACUCAGCUUCAUCCACCUCUAAACAAUGAAAAAGAUUCAACACAACCACGUCCAAGCUAAAGGAUUGAAGCUUCAUGUGGCCCAGAUUGGAACUAGUUAGAAAUUUCUGUACGUAAUUUGACUAACUAAUAAUACUAGUGGCAAGAUAGUUUUAACAAUGAUGGGAGGUGUGGGCGUGCAGGUUCUAAGGUGGUGGUAUUCUUGCAUGGAUUCCCGAAAAUUUGGUAUUCUUGGAGACACCAGACAAUUGUUGUGGCUAAUACUGGCUACCGAGCUAUUUCCAUUGAUUUUAGGGGCUAUCGACUCUCAUAGCAUCCAUCAGAACCAGAGAAGGCAACCUUUAAUGACUUUGUUAAUGAUGUCGUUGCCUUUCUCGACUCUUGGGUAUCAAUAAGGUACCAUUAGUGACUUUGAUGUGUUUACGAGCUAAGAUCAACACAUACGUUUAAUAUUUUUAUACUGCUGAAACCAAGCACAUCUUGUUGCCAAGGAUUUCGGGGCCUUCGUAGCAGCUAUGUUAAUGAAUGAAAAAGUGUUAUGACAGUUAUUAGUUAGAGCUUGGUAGUUAAGGUGGUUAUGGUUUCUGUUGAUAGGUUGUGUUAUAAAUACUAUGUUUUGGUACUUUGUUUAAUAUAAUAAAAUUCAAUCUUUCCUAUCCACUCAAAUCCGUUAUAUGUUUCUCAAUAUGGUAUCUAAGCCUUAGUUUUUUUUUAAGAGUCUUUUUUGUGUUUCUUCCAUGGUGACAGAAGUUGUUUCUGGUAAUGAUGACAAGAAUCAUCCGUCAAUCAACACAGCUACACCUGAAGCUGGUUCUUCUCCCGAUCCUAGUUGUGAUUCUUUGAGAAAGAUUCAAUAAUUUCCUACGCAUGAUACUAUGAAACUAGGUAAGCAUAACUUUCUUUUAUGGAAAUAACAGGUUAUGUUAAUUCUUGAGGGGUAUGGGUUGCAUGAAUUUGUUCUUGGAACUAUUAGUGUUCCUCUACAGUCUGUUGUUAACAGAGAUGGUAAACUUGUUGCUAAGCCCUAUUUCUUGUUUCAUAAGCAACAAGAUAAGUUGUUAGCUUCUUGGUUAUUAUCCACCAUUUUUGAUGAUAUCUUGGUGCAUCUCACUGGUGCUCGAUCAAGUUUUGAUGUGUGGAAUAUAGUUGUCCUGCAGUUUGCUACUAAAUCUACUAUGACAGUUUCUACUCUGACGCAUUCUUUGUAUUCUUAAAAAAAAGGGCAAUCAACCAUUAAAGAAUACUUGGCCAAAAUUAAAGGUUUGUGUGAUACCUUAAUGGCUGCAGGCAAUGCUAUUUUUGAGGAGGAACAAAUUAGUAUCAUUCUUGCUGGUCUGUUAGCGGAGUAUAAGUCAAUUCGAGUUGUGGUUUCAGCAAUGUGUGUUCCACUUGAUCUUCUUGCUGAGAUGCUUACUGAUUGUGAAGCUCGACAACAAGAUUUUGUUUCUAGUAUGCCUUUACUCGCUAAUAUUGAUAAGCAAAGUGGUAUUGAUUUACAGGCUAAUAUUGAUCAGCAAAGUGGUAUUGAUGAUACAAGCACUGGGCAGUUCGACAGAGGUUCUAAACCACCCUACAGGGGUGGUGGUUCUAGGACAUUUCGAGGCAGAGGCCGAGGAAGAAGGUUUGUCCAUAACAAACCUCAAUUCCAGCUGUGUGGUAGGACUGGUCACACUGUACAGAAGUGUUACUAUCGAUUUGAUGAGUCCUUUGAAAGGGUUUCUAAUCAGAUAGUGCAUGUGCAUUGUCAUCAGUUUCAAGAUUCUUCAAAUUCAUUGUGUGGAGGUUCUCAUUUUUGUUCCCAAAAAAAUACUGUGCAAAGUUCUGGUUUUCAAACUAAUGCUGUCUCCAUAAAAGGGCAGUUUCCCACAAGCUCCUUGAACACAAAAGUAUGGUAUCCGGACUCGAAAGCAUCCAACCAUGUUACAAUGACCUGGAUAAUUUGCAGAAGGUAGCACAAUAUAUAGGUAACAACAAGCUUUUCAUGGGAAAUGGUGUGUCUGUACCAGUGGCUCAUGUUGGCUCCUCAUCCUUUACAAGUACAAGCAGAGUUUUUCAUUUGAAAAAUGUGUUGCAUGUUCCAUGAAUCUGCAAAAACUUAAUGUCUGUUGUACAAUUUGCUAAAGAUAAUCAAGUUUAUUUUGAAUUUAAUCAUUUCCAUUGCUUUGUGAAGGAUACCAAGACAGGGAAAAUCUUGUUGGUGAGUCGCAUUCAUGACGGUUUGUACCAGUUUGAUCUAUUAGGCACUCAAAGUUUCACAACUUUUUCUUCUCCAGCCACUGCUCACACUACUCAUCUAGGGUCUCUUAUUUUUAGUGGUUCAGUUUUUUAUUUGUGGCACAAACGUCUUGGUCACCCUUGUAAUAAAACUGUCACUAUAGUUCUUCAAAAGUGUAAUAUUGUUUCAAAGAGUUGUAAGUUGAAUUCAGUUUGUUCAGCAUGUCAACUUGGAAAGUUUCAUAAACUUUUAUUUUCUACCUCUACUACUGUUUGUUUAGCUCUUUUUGACAUAAUUGUUUAUGAUCUGUGGGAACCUACUUCUGUGGCAUCUGAAGGCAAUUUUUAUUAUGUCUCCUUUGUUGAGGCAUAUUCUAGAUAUUCUUGGAUGUAUAUUAUAAAGCGCAAGUCUGAGGCCUUAGACAAAUUUCUUCAUCUACAAAAAUUUAUUGAAGUUUAGUUUGGAUGUCAAAUAAAGGUUCUUCAAAUUGAUUGAGGUGGAGAAUUUUGUUCUUUUCCAAAGGUACUCUCUCAGCUGGUGAUUCAUCAUCGGCUUUCUUAUCCUUAUACCUCCAAAAAAAUAGCUUGGUGGAGAGGAAACACAGGCAUAUAGUUGAUACUGGUCUGAUAUUGUUGGCUUAGGCUAGUGUGCCUAUGCAUCUUUAGGCUUAUGCUUUUAUCAGUGUUGUUUAUCUCAUCAAUAGACUUCCCACACCUGUUCUCAAUGGCAAGUCACCCUAUAAGGUGUUACAUAAAACUGUACCUAACUACAUGCAUUUAAAGAUGUUUGGCUGUAGGUGUUAUCCAUAUCUCAAACCCUUUAAUACUCAUAAGUUACAAUAUCGUUUCAGGUCUUGUGUGUUCUUCGGCUAUAGACCUGUUCACAAAGGAUACAAAUGUCUUGAUGAUACUAGUAAGAUCUUUGUCUCUAGGCAUUUGGUGUUUGAUGAAGAAUGUUUUCCUUUUGCUAGCUUUACUAGCUCAGGCAGUGGUUUCGCCACUUCUUGGACUCAGCCAAAGUUUCAAUAUCAGCAGUCUCAGGUUCCAGUUGUGGUAUUUUCUUUGGACCAAUCUGGAUUUGGUGCUCCAAAUGUGCCUGGUACUUCAGCUCAGUUGAAUUUAGGAGCUAUGUUAGAGUCUGCUACUCCACCUUCUAGUCAUCUUCUUUUGGAGUCCACUGAUUUAAGAUUGAGGCAAGACGAUAGCAUCUCGCCAGGAAAUGAAGCUAGCAAUAGUAGUUCUGCUCAUACUCCAAUUCCAUCUCAUUAUGAUGUAAAUCCUCUAAUGAAUUCAAGUUUGGAUUCUGCUGGUAGUCUAGUUGUUAGGGAACUUCAGGAUCCUGUAUCAGUUUUACCUAUCAACUCUCAUCCUAUGCAAACCAGAUCCAAAAAUAACAUCUUUAAGCCCAAGGUGUUCUCAGCUGAGUUGAGUGAGACUGAGCCUGUCACAAUUGAGGAAGCAUUUUCUAGUAAAGAGUGGACACUAGUAGCUCAGCAAGAGUAUGGUGCUCUGUUGAAAAAUAAGACAUGGGACUUAGUUCCUUUACCUGCAAACAGAAGAGCUAUAGGCUGCAAGUGGAUGUUCAAACUCAAACGCUGCUCAAAUGGCACUAUUGCUCGUUACAAGGGUCGCUUGGUAGUUAAGGGAUAUCUUCAGGAAGAAGGUAUUUAUUUUCAAGAAACUUUUAGCCCAGUUAUGAAACCAACAACAAUUCGAGUUGUUUUGACGUUGGCUGUAAAGUUUGGAUGGUAGUUAAGGCAAGUGGAUAUCAACAAUGUGUUUUUCAAUGGUGACUUGUCAGAAGAAAUUUAUAUGGUUCAACCUCCUAGUUUUGUGCAGAAGCAUGGUGAACGACCGUUGGUGAGUAGAAUGAAGAAAGCACUGUAUGGUCUUACAUAGGCUCCCAAAGCCUGGUUCUCCAAGCUACAAGAUUUCUUGCUCACUUCACAGUUUGUUUUGGCUAAGUUAGAUGGUUCUCUCUUUGUAAGAAAUGCUGAGGGGGUGAUUUUGUAUGUACUAGUGUAUGUGGAUGACAUGAUUGUCUCUGGAAAUCAUCAAGGUAGCAUAAAUAGCUUUGUUUCAACCUUGGAUACCUAGUUUUCCUUAAAAGAUUUGGGGCCUCUAAGUUACUUCCUUGGUAUUGAAGUAACUCCCACCACUGAUUGGUUGUUUUUAAGUCAGCGCAAAUAUGUUCUUGAUCUUCUAAAAAAAGCUUGAAUGGAUCAGGCAAAUGGAUCUCCUACACCCAUGGUCACUUUACCAAACUUAUCUCAGCAUGUUGGCAGUGCAAUUGAGAAUGAAUCCGAGUAUAGAAGCAUUGUAGGUGCUCUGCAGUAUGUGGUCAUCACCAGACCUAAAAUUACUUUUGUUGUCAAUAAAGUUUGUCAAUUUAUGCAUCGGCCUCUUGACCAGCACUUCAAGGCUGUAAAACGCAUUCUCAGGUAUCUUCAAAGCACUGUGGACUAUGGUAUUCAUUUUACUGCAGCUGUCAACUUGGAUUUGGUUGGUUAUUCAGAUGUAAAUUGGGGGACUGAUGUGGAUGAUAGGAGGUCCACUACAAGGUUUUGUGUGUUCCUUAGGGGUAAUCCUGUAGCCUGGGGAUCGAAGAAGCAACAGACUGUUUCCAGGUUAACAGCAGAAGCUGAGUAUAGAGGGCUAGCUCACACUGUUACAGAAGUGAUUUGGCUUAAGUCUCUCUUGUCUGAACUGCAUGUUUCUACCUCAAGAAAGGCCGUAGUGUAGUGUGAUAACUCAAGAGCUGUUGCUGUAUCUGCAAAUCCAGUAUUGCACUCAAAGUUUAAACAUGUUGAGUUAGAUCUGUUCUUUGUUAGAGAGAAGAUUGCUACUGGAAAACUAAGUGUGGGUCAUAUUCUAGCACAGGAACAAGUAGCAGAUGUCUUUACCAAACCUUUGUCAGCUCCUUUAUUUGCAAAAUUUAAAUCAUAUCUUAAAUUGGUUGCAAAGUUUGAACAAACGGCAGAUAUUAGGAAGAUGGAGGCAUGUUAAGGAAUGAAAAACUGUUAUGGCAGUUAGUAGUUAGAGCUUGGUAGUUAAGGUGGUUAUGGUUUCUGUUGAUAGAUUGUGUUAUAAAUACUAUGUUUUGGUACUUUAUUUCAUAUAAUAAAAUUCAAUCUUUCCUAUCCAGUCAAAUCCCUUAUAUGUUUCUCAAUAAGCCAUGGUGGGCAAACUUCACCCUGACAGAGUGUCCACCAUCAUUUUACUAAGCGUUCCUUUCCUACUACCAGGUCUCUCUACACUCCAGGCUCAACUUCCUCUCAUUCCACCUGGCUUUUAUAUGCUAAGAUGGAUGGUAAGUAAUUUCAUUUCAUUUACUAUUAUCUUUUUCCAUGCCAUCUCUCAUUUCCAUCAUGUUGCAUUGUAAAUUCCCUACAGGUGCCAGGAAGAGCUGAAGCAGAUUUUGGCCGCUUCGACACAAAGAUUGUCAUACGCAAGGUUUAUACUAUGUUCUCUAGAAGUUUACCCUAGGUUGCUGUUGAUGACCAAGAGAUCUUGGAUUUGGUUGACUCAUUUGCACCUCUCCCACCAUGGUUGAGCGAGGAGGAUCUUGCAGAGUAUGGUUCUUUAUACGAGAAAAGCGGAUUUCGUACUACACUGCAAGUUCCAUACAGGUGAAGCAUGAUUGAUUAUAUUCUAAUAAGUCAAACUAAUCCUAUGCUAUAGCUAGUUUAUUUUGUUCAAAUAUGUAUUUUAUACGUAUAUAUAUCUCUUACGUGCAAGACUAUGAUGCAGUCCUGUAGGCUGGAUGAUGGGAAAAUCAGAGCUCCAGGACUUCUGAUCAUGGGAGAGUAGGACUAUAUUAUGAAAUUCCCAGAGCUGGAAGACUAUAUCAGGACUGGCAAAGUAAAGGAGUUUGCGCCCAAUUUGGAUGUCACAUUUUUGGCACAAGGUAACCAUUUCGUCCAAGAACAACUUCCUGGGGAGGUGAAUCAUUUCAUUAUCUCAUUCCUUAACAAACAUUGCAAAUAGAGCAAAUCCAUGGCUUAGCUUCUGCUUCGUCUCCUUCCGCUGAAUAAAAGGACCUUGUGCCAUUUAAAUAAGAAUAAUAUUACCUCAAAAUGGUCAAA